rnacentral:lncRNA from 1 species
GGAAAACUCAUUUUCUGAGCGGUUACGCGGGUUUUUUUUACGAGCUUUUUGUAUCAUUUUUGCUGUACUAGUCUCUCUCUCUCUGUCUCUCUCUCUCUCUCUCUCUCUCUCUCUCUCUCUCUCUCUUUCUCUCUCUCUCUCUCUCUCUCUCUUUCUCUCUCUCUCUCUCUCUGUCUUUAUGGCUUGUACAGUUGAAGAUGUGAAAAGGCUCAUGGUGAUAAUCCCGCAGAUAACUGUCUAUGACCAGAUAUAGCUAUGAGAUCUGAAGGCUUGUUUACAGGCAUUUUCUUUUCCCUAACAGAUGUGUAUUGAAUUUUCAGUUGUUUUGUUUCGUUAAUACAACAACAACAACAAAACUUUUUUCCAUUAAAUGGGGUCGGCUAUAUGAAUCUUAUAACGUCAUUGCGCUCGGUUUUGUGUCAUGUCCUCCGUUAGAUCCAAGUACUCUAAGUUUUUUCUUAGGGUUUCUUCCAAAGUUUUCCUAGGUCUUCCUCUACCCCUUUGCCCUGAACCUCUAUCCCGUAGUCACAUCUUCGAACCGGAGCGUAAGUAGUCACAUCUUCGAACCGGAGCGUAAGUAGGCUUUCUUUGCACAUGUUCAAACCCAUUUUGUUUCGUUAAUGAUUUCUGUAUAUGUAUUCUUACUAUUGUAUUGAUCUGAAGUUUUCUGUUAAUAGAAAACCGAAGAGCACUUUUGGCGUUGCGGUAUUUUACCCCUAUAAAACGAUUAUUGGAGAUUGUUUUGGUUAGAAGAUGGUUAUAGAUUUUUGAUUUACUUUAUCUUCUGGUUCAAAUAUGAUGCCCAGUGAUGGGAGAAUUGAAAACCUAAACAGUGGUAAGCGUGGUUGAUUUUUCAUUAGCCCGUACUUACCACAAGCACCACCUCUCUCUCUCACUACAACAAACAACAACCAAGCCUUAUCCCACUAUACGUGGGAUUGGCUGGAUGAAUCAUUGAACGCCAUUACGCUGGGUUUUGUGCCAAGUCUUCCGUUAUCUCUGUCUCUCAUACAUAUAAAUAUAUACAUACAUUCACACAUACAUACGUUGGUGGUGCAUGGUGGAGUACGAAGGCUUUUGAGGAACGCCACUAGCCGUGAACUGUAUAUGACUCGUUCAAAGGUGUGAGAUCUGAGGGCACGAACCUUUGAAGUAGUGAUGCUUGUCAAGUUAUUUUUCAAGGUUAGAGCACGAGCCUUUGGUGUAGUAAUGUUGUGCUAAUGAUGAGUUAUACUCUGUAUCUAGCCUUUCUUUUUCUUGAAUUAUUUUGGAUCAUUACCAUGUUCUCUGAUAUAGUUUUUUUGCUGCUUCUGAAAGGUUUAUUUGCCUAAUGAUGGAAAACUCAUUUAUGGAGCGGUUCUGUGGAUUGUUAUUAGGAGCCUUUUCUAUCAUUUUCCUAUACUAGUCGCCGUCAUCAUCAACACCACCAUUCUUCUCUCUCUCUCUCUCUCUCUCUCUCUUCUCUCUCUCUUCUCUCUCCCUCUCUGGCUUGUAUGGUUGAAGAUGUGAAGAGGUUCAUAGUGAUAAUCCACAGUUAACUAGCAAUGACCAGAUAUAGCUAUGAGAUCUGAAGGCUCUUCAGUUUUUUGCCUUUUUUUAUUUAAGAUAUGCUUGUUGAAUUUUAAAUUAUUUUUGUUCCCUUAGUUAUUUAUAUAGGUCAUUGCAGCAUUGUAGACAUUAUUUUAGUUUAACUGGAGCACUUUUGGCAUUGCAGUAUUUGAUUACUAUAAAUGUACUGUUACUUUUGUAUUGAUUUCAAAUUUUCUGUUAAUAGAAAACCAAAGAGCACUUUCGGCAUUGCAGUAUUUUUGUAUAUAAUGCGAGCUCCCUUCAGACUCAAACCUGCUUGUACAUUGUUACAUAUAAAGCUAAUAAACUGUCGUUUGGAAAAAAAUUCACUCUUUCAUUGUUACUGAGUGCUUUUAUUUCCUACAAAGCUAUUAUUGUAGAUUGUUUUUGUUGAAAGAUGGUUAUACAUUUUGAUUAACUUUAUCUUCUGGUUCAAAUAUGAUGCCCAGUGAUGGAAAGUUGAAAACCUAAAUAGUGGUAAGGGUGGUUGAUUCUUCAUUAUCCCGUACUAACCACAAGCACCACCUCUCUCUCUCUCUCUCUCUCUCUCUCUCUCUCUCUAAUAUAUAUACAUACAUACAUACACACACAUACGUUGGUGCUGCAUUGUGGAGUAUGAAGGCUUUUGAGGAACGCCAUUGCCCAUGAACUGGAAAUGACUUAUUGCUAUGUGAUCUGAGGGCAUUUUCAUAGAACUCACUAUUUUCAAUUACCUAUUUGGGGAUAUAUCCCUCCUUGCAGUCCAAAUUUUGCGCCGCAAGUUACUUUGACCCCACAUGUGCGUUUGGGCCCCAAAUUUUGUUUCUUUCAUAAUUAUGAUUUUUAUAUGGGCUGAUUGUCUGUUCUGUUCUUGUUUCAAACUGUUGUUUCAUAAAAACCUGUAUUUUUCUUGACUGGGUGAUAGGCCUUUGAUAUUAAGUUGUUUUGAUGAUGGUUUAUUUUCAUUUGUGCUAGAAGUUUAUAAUGGCAUAGUUCUGAGUGGAGUGCUUGUUUAAUUGGCAGUUGGGGUUGGGUUAUAACUGUUAUGUGAUUGUGGGGAAUGAUGGUACCUGCAGUGGUCUCUGGGCAGUUUGGGAUUGCAAUUGUCGAUGGAAAUGCAGCCUAGAAUGCUAUUUAUGAUCCCUGGAGUAAUUCUACUUUGGGGUAUAUUUCAUGUUAUUGUUGUCAUCAUUCAAUUAACUUAUUGUGUCGCAAUGGAAAUUACUGGUCAAGUUAUUUAUGACCCCUGAAUUAGUGAUGUUGUGCUAAUGAGUUAUACUCUGUCUAUAGUCUUUCUUUUUCUUGAAUUAUUUUGGGUCAUUACCAUGUUCUUUGAUAUAGCUUUUUUGCUGCUUCUGAAAGGUGGUUCAGUUUUUAUUUGCCUAAUGAUGGAAAACUCAUUUAUGGAGCGGUUAUGUGGAUUGUUAUUAGGAGCCUUUUCUAUCAUUUUCCUGUACUAGUUGCUGUCACCAUCAACACCACCAUCCUCUCUCUCUCUCUCUCUCUCUCUCUCUCUCUCCCUCUCCCUCUCCCUCUCCCUCCCUCUCCCUCUCCUCUCUCCCUCUUUCCCUCUUUCCCUCUCUCCCUCUCUCCCUCUCCCUCUCUUGCUUGUAUGGUUGAAGAUGUGAAGAGGUUCAUAGUGAUAAUCCACAGUUAACUGGCAAUGACCAGAUAUAGCUAUGAGAUCUGAAGGCUCUUCAGUUUUUUGCCUUUUUUAUUCUUAAGAUAUGCUUGUUGAAUUUUAAAUUAUUUUUGUUCCUUUAGUUAUUUCAAUAGACAUUUCCUUUUCUGGUCAUUGCAGUAUUCUAGACAUUAUCUUUGGUUUAACUGAAUAGCACUUUGGGCAUUGCAGUAUUGUGAUUACCAUAAAUGCACUGUUACUUUUGUAUUGAUUUCAAAUUUUCUGUUAAUAGAAAACCAAAGAGCACUUUCGGAAUUGCAGUAUUUUUGUAUAUAAGGCCAGCUCCCUCUGGAGUCAAACCGCUUGUAGAUUGUUUCAUAUAAAGGUAAUAAACCAUUGUCUGGAAACUAUUGUUGUAGAUUGUUUUAGUUGAAAGAUGGUUAUAGAUUUUUUAUUAACUUUAUCUUCUGGUUCAAAUAUGAUGCUUAUUGAUGGAAAAUUCAAAACGUUAAGAGUGGUAGGCAUGGUAUUGUAGAUUCUUUUGUAUGCUUAUAGAUUUCUUUCUUAGAUUCCUCUUUUAUCCAAGAAAGCAGUUAUUGUAGAUUCUUUUGUAUGCUUAUAGAUUUAGUACGCACAAAUCUGUGUAAUGUUUAUUGUGUUCUAAGUUUACAAAGCCACAUGCUAAAUUACUCUUCUUUUUCUUUCUUUUUUUAAUUCUUGCUUGUACGAUUGAAGAUCUGUUGAGGUUUAUAAUCGAGCUUGUGACCGUGAUGACUAGAUACAUAUUUUCAAGGUGUUUCUGCAGAGACACUCAUUAACAUGGUAUUUGAAUUUAUUGCUAUAGUUGUGUUGUAUUGAUUUAUACAUUCUCAAUAGUUACAUAUUUUACCCAUUUAGUCGUACAGUCCAUUCCUCUCAAAGGUGCCCUUGCAAUGUUAAUUCAACAAAUUUUAUGAGGCCUCGAUCAACUGAAUAUAGUUAUGGUGUCUGUAAUAUGGUUAUCUUUAAGUCUAAGUGUAUAUGUGGCUUUGUUUUUUUUUCGCUUGGUUGGUGCAACAAAUGCAAAACUAUGAAGCAGUGGUUUUUGCAUAUAUGCUGCAGUAUAGGCUUACACCUUUGCCCAAUGAUGCAGACUCCUGUUCUGGGUAUGCUUUUGAUUUUCAUUAUGAGCAUCUCCACCUCCUAUAUUUCUAUCGUCAAUAGUAGCCAUCUGCUCUUUAUGGUGGUGGUGGUGGUGGUGGUGGUGGUGUUGUCGUUGUUGUUGUUGUUGCUGCUGCUGCUGCUGCUGUCUUAUAAGAUGUGGAGAGAUUGUAAAUGAAAAUCAAAGCUCAACAUCCUUAACUAUAAAUUCAGGAUAUGAUAAGGACUGAGGGCUAUCUUUUGUUUACUUUUACUACCCAAGUGGUGUUGUGUAAAUGAUUGUUUUUACCUACCAUGGGAUAGAGGUUUAGGGCCGAAGGGGUAAAGGAAGACCUAGGAAAAUUUUGGAAGAGACUCUAAGAAAAGACUGUACUUGGAUUUAACGGAGGACAUGACACAGAACUGAGCGCAAUGGUAUUCUAGGAUUCAUAUAGCCGACCCCAUCUAGUGGGACAAGACUCUGUUGUUGUAUUAUAUUGCUAAUGUAUUUUUCUCCAUGUGCACCACACAUUUUCAUGAUUCUUGAUACCUUUAUAUGAGUAAAGCUGUUUUCUGGAAUUGGUGCCGUUAUGAGGGAGGAAUUCGUCAAGAACAUGUUAGUUUUAAAGACUGAUGUCCUUUACAAGAUGCUAUACUUGUCUUGAUCAUACAUGGGUGGCUUUUUAAUGAUGCUUUUAGUCACUCUUUGUUAAUAAGCCCAAUGAUGAAAUCUCAUUUUGUGAAGCAGUGCUUCACUUUAAGCCGCCAUUUACUGUGCCACGCUGAUCAUCGCCAUUUGCCGGCUCCUUCUUCUUCUUCUUCUUCUUCUAUUGUUGUUAUUAUUAUUAUUAUUAUUAUUUCUGGUGAUGAUCCGGUGGUGUUCGUAAAUGGUGACUGGCUUUCAGUGAUUACUGUUUAUGAAGUUUUAGUAGUGGUCUGAGGGCUCAAAAUAUCAUUAGGUUUUAUUAUUCAAUGAAAGGCAAAUGAAUCUCCAGUAUAAUUUAAAUGUGUGGUAAUCUGUUUAUUAAUGAUCUGUUGAUGUAAAUAUUAAUAAUUUAGUUUGAAUACAGAUAGGGACAGAGUUUACUCCAAACUAUUUGCUAAUUCUUGCCUUCCUCUUCCGCAUGCAUUACUAAUCUUCUUUUCUGGGUUCAAGUUUCCUUUUGGCCCUUGAAUUGUAUGUUUUGGAUUUCAGGUUAUUUCGGUUCGAUUUCUUUUAAUAGAAUGUGUGAUUACGGGGCUUGAGAGUUUUCUUUUCUGUUGCGGUUGUGGCUGCAUCGUAUGAGUGAUUACCUCUUUCGUUGGGUGGAGACGGCGACUCUGUUUUCAACCUCUGUUUGGUUUUCACAUUGCAAUGUAAGUGUAUCGUACUGUGAUGGAAUCUCAUAUAUGGUCGGCUUUUCAAUAAGCCCUAUGAUGGAAUCUCAUUUUGUGAAGCAGUGUUUCACUUUAAGCCGCCGUUUAUUGCGCCGGACUGAUCAUCGACAUUUAACUGCGGCUGCUGCUGCUGUUGCUCCUCCUCCUCCUCCUCCUCCUCCUCUUUAUUAUAAAUAAUAUUUCUGGUGAUGAUCUGAUGGUGUCCGUAAAUGUUGCCUGGCCUUUAGUGAUCACUGUUUAUGAAAAUUUUGUUGUUGAUGAGGUCUGAGGGCUCAAAACUUAAUUCGUCUUGGUGUCUGGUGUCUCUUGAUAUGUAUUGGUGUUUUGCAUUGCAAAUUUGCAAUCCAAGUGUAAUUUGAUGCAUCCCGCAUGCUGCUUGAUGGUUUAUGAUCUUUGGUUGUAAUUGUUGUAGUGAAAUGAAAUGAAAUGAAAGCGUGUCCAUAUCAUGCCUUUUGGUUUGAUUUUUCUUUUCCUUUUUGUGCAAAGAACAGCUACUUGUCUUGUUUAUGCCAUUGAUAUUGGGAGAGGAGAGAUUCAAACACGACCUCGAAUGUAGGGUAAACGCUUUUUAGUUUUUUAUUAAGUGUAAUAUUCAUACGAGUGAAAUGUUAAAACUAUUAAAUUGUGUCGUAAUAUUGUGUUUUCUACCUUAAAAGAAAGGGGAAGUUUGAACUAAAUCAAGUGGGUAACCGUUAUAUGAACUGUUUCUAACUUUGUGGUUUAGAAUUAGGGAACUUUAAUUCAAAGUUUCUGAUACUGUUUAUUUUAACGAAAAAUCAUAUUUUUACACUAAAAAGUUAAUAUUGUAUUAUUUACUUUACCUUUUAUUUGUUCUUAUCUUUAAAAUUCAAAGUUUUCAAAUUAUUUUAUUAGUUUUCCUUUAAAAUUAGUGAACUUUAACGAAAAGCACCCGGUAUUGUUCAUUUUAAUGAAAAACCACAUUUUUUCACUAAAAAGUUAAUUCAGGUACUAUUCACUUUACCCUUUAUUUUGUCCUUAUCAUUAAAACUCAAAGUUUUCAAGUUCUUUUCAUUAGUUUUCUUUUAAAAUUAAGAUGGUUAUAAGACUUUUAAUUUUUCUUCCUAUUCCUGCUUUUUCGAUUUCCAAUAGUCGUCCGCAUGUGCGUUAGCGACAGUCAGCUCUUCAUGGUUGGGAGUUCAUGCAGCUAUACAACUGAUAGUCACCCAGGCGCAUGGACAACUACCUUAGGCUGUUCUGAUAUUCUUUUUUCUAUCUUUGAAGUGGAAGUAGGGCAAUGUCAAAGCCGGAAAAGGAUCCUCGUCGGAUUCUUUUCUUGGGGAUCCUAUGAUCGUGGUUGUUUAUCGUAUAUCGUACGGUCAUAAAUCAUUUGAAAUUUAAAAUUAUAUAUAAAUAAUAUCUAACGAAAAUUGACUGCACGAUGUACGAUGAACGUCACAAUCACGGGAUCUUCGAAAUUCCCGGCAUCCGUUUCCGGUGAAAGCCCCCUUACAACUUGGAUCUAGGUAAGAAUGUGUCAAAAGUCAAGAUACCCGGCAUGGUUGACGGAUAGGGGUGAAUCGGCUAUGGCUGCUAUCUGGUUGGGGUUAAGAGAGUGUGCUUGUGUAUUCAGGGCAUGGCUGGCUUUGGGCUUAAGUUAAUAGCAGACUUCAAAUAAGAAAGAGGCCUCUGUCAGGGAGGGGGCAGUUCUCGUGAGAGCAAUUUGUAUGAUACGGAUACAUUACUAUAGUGGUGUCAAAUGCCAACUUGUGCUAUUAGCAUAGCACAUUAACGUGGUGGUGUCUCCAUGUCGUACUUGUCCAUUUCCUAAGGCUCAUUCUCAAUGAAACAGUUACCUUUUACCGUUCCAAAUUAUUAUACUAUGUUACUAUCGACGUUGGGUUCUAAAUUUAUUUUGUUUCCAGAUAAAAUCAGCCUUCUACAUCACUUAGUCCACAAGGAUUUGCAAAGAUUUACAGAGUGGAUAUCAAUCUAGUAGUAUUUUUCUUCUUCAUGCUAUGUAGAGACUUCAAGUUCAGAACGUCUCAUUCACUUAUUUUAAAUUGUCAAUGAUAUUUAUUCUUGACUGUUUAUGUAAAAAUUACUUUUGCUCCUAAACGGGUUUUAAUAAAAUGCUUUAUAAGAAACCUGGCCAAAUUUCUAUUGAAAAUAUGAGUGCUUGAAAAAAGAAGCGUCGACAAAGUGCUUCCCCAAAAACACUAAACUAUUUUUGUCAUUUUGGAAGCAAUCAUGCAACGUAGCCUUAAAUUAUUGAAUCCAAAUGAAUGAUACGUGAAUGACAUCAUCAAGAAUAUAAAUAAUUAAAAGGCAUCAUCAAAUAUUUUAAAAUAAAAAAAAACAAUUUGAAAGAAGAACACUAGCGAGAGUGGUACAAACGUCCGAAAGAGGAUCCUCGCCAGAUCCUCUUUGUGAUGAUUCGGAGAUCUUCCAAUCACAUCUGUUUUUUUGUAUAUCGUGCGAUCAAUUUUCAUUAUGUAUAGUUUAUAUUCAAUUUUAAAUGAAAAAAUUUACAAUGAUUUCUGAUCGCACGAUAUACGAUGAACGAAUGUGAUUGAAAAAUUUUCAGGAUCCUCACAAAGAGGAUUUCUCCACACGUCCCACUCCAUCCAUCAAAUCAUUUAACAAAUUGACCAAUUCCAAAGAGAAUCAAAAGCUCAUGUUCCUCUCGAACCUCUCUUCAACUGGAAAACUACAUUUACUUGUGGUCCAAGAAACAACCAACCCAUAUAUAAUAUAUGAAUGAAAAUGAAAGCUACAAUUUGUUUAUCUUUGUUACCUUUUUCCCCUUCUUUAACAUGUGCUUAAUUGUUUGAAGUGAUCAAACUUAAUUAUAAUAUUUGAUUGAGUGAAUGAUGGGUUUCUUUCUUUGUUUAGAAAUAGACACAAACAGAAGCUAACUGCGUUUCACAUUUUACAUUUUUGAUGUGAUUUUUCUAAAUAUUGAAACUGUAUUAAUUUAUUUCUACAGUUUAAUAAUAAUAUUUGAUUUUUUAUUAAAUUAAUGAUAUAAUAAGCACGCUACUGAUUGAAUUCAUAUUUAAAUCACAUUUGUAACACACUGAUAAAGAAAUCAUCAAUAUAAUGAAAUAAUACACACUUAUUCAGAUAUAAAGUAUAAAUGAAUAUAAUAUCAAAUAUAAUGCAAGAAAAUUGAAACUUAAACGCCUCACGUUUAAAAAGUAAAAAUUGUAAUUAGCCUAAAAAGAAAAAAAAAAUAGUAAAUAUUGAUUUCUUGAUAGGAAAAGGAUCCACGUUGGAUCAUUUUUUUAGGAAUCCCGUGAUCGUAAUUGUUCAUCGUAUAUCGUGCGAUCAUAAAUUAUUUUAAAAUUUAUAAUUUAUAAUUAAAUAUAAAUAGUAUUUAAUAAAAACUAAUUGCACGAUAUACGAUGAACAGUCAUGAUGAUAAAAUUUCUAAGAUCGUUAAGAAAAGGAUUCGGUGAGGAUCCUUUUUCUUCUUGAUACAUUAGGGCACAGACAUAUCCCAGAUUUGUUGUAAAAAUGUGAGGUGUGUAAAGAGCCAAAGCAUGCAUAUAUGUAUAUUAUAUUCUGGACUGGGGGGACAACAUGGUGUUUCGCAAUUUAAUGAGACGGACCGGUAACUUGUGGCUGCGUAUGAUCAUAGGUCCACCACACCACGUACACACCUAUAGAAGGUUUUCAAGGGAAUAGAUCUCUAAUUCUUUAUUUAAAAUAAAAAUUAGUUAUGUGAUCCAUAUUACUUUAAACUUCAAUAAUCUAAGUUCAUUUUUUAAGUUGGAUCUCAUAAAUCAUUCUUACAAAAUAUUAGUCAAAUAAUUUUUUUUAAGAUAUAUAAUUGAGUUCAAAGAAAUUGACGAAUACAUUGUUUUAUGAGAAACAAGGAAUUUCAUAAUGAUAAUUAAAUAGUUAAAUGAUUUCGAAUUAAAUUGAAUUUUUGCAAGAAUAAUCUAUGAAUCAAGACUUACAAAAUAGACGGUUUGGAUUGUUGAAGUUCGAUGUGAAAUAUGCCUUAUUAUUAAUACCCAUUUUUACCUAAAAAUGGAAAUUCCUUUGAAUAAAGGGGCUGCAUACAUAUAUUAUGAGGAAUUACAUCAAUAACCACAACUCGAUGAAAAUGCAAUAGAAUUUCGAGUGAAGUUUGCUUUUUUGUCACAGCCCUUCCCGAAAUAUUGGAAUAUUCAUUCUCGAGGACGUGAAUUGAUGGUUUUUCCUUUGGACAGGUUGAGUUAUUUGGUGUUGUGGUGUGUAUGUGAUGGGAACUAAGUGAUUAUAAUUGAACUGAUCCCUAAGUUUUGGACCUAAGUGAACUAAAAAGGGAUUUGGUUUUGUUUUGGUUGAUUGGUGACUUUUGGACCACACACAUUACACCCCACUUUCUCUCUCUCUCUCUCUCUCACCCUCCCGUACUCUCUCUCAGAUUCACACACACUCUCUCUUGUACGAACGAGACCUAAAACCCUUGUAAACGUGAUGGAUCGAGGUGGAGAAGGGAACCAUUGUGUUCGUGAGGACCAUACGAGUUCAAAGGUACCAUUUUUAGGUAAGGAAACCUUCGAUUUCACGUGGAAACCCUAUCUCCGAUUUGAACACUGUUCAUGCAAACGUUAAAUCUUGUGUUUUUGGAAAUUUCAAGCUCACAGAGAGCUUAAGAAGAUCCUUAUGAGGCUCGGAGUACUUUGUUGGAGGUUUUUGGACGUCGGGAUAUCGAGAUAUGCAAGUUUAAAGUUUUGGCCAGAAGUUCGGGGAUUCUUAGGCGAGAUCCAAUGGUUUUGGGAGCUUGAAAUUGGUAUGAUUUUAUUCUAAAUGUUGUAAGCUUCGUUUGGGUACAAAUUUCAUUAAAUUUGGUUGAGAAACGACGAAGAUAUAAGGAUUUGAAAAAUUCCCAGUUUUCCGGUGACAGUGACGGUCGCUGGAGUCUGAGGUUGAAGACGACGGAAUAUUCCGUCAAUUCUGACGGAAUAUUCUAACACCCUCAGUUAAGUUUAACGGAAUCUGUUAGGAUUUAACGGAAUAUUCCCUAAUUGUCGUUACAGUUUCCGUCAGAGUACCCUGCGCGUGGCCGCGCGUCUUGCCGUGCACUCGUUGGUGCGUGGCGGCGCGUGGGUGGAUGAAAAAUUAUUUUAAAAAUAUGGGGACGAUCCUGAGAUUGUGUAAGUCAUUUUGGUAUAUUCAUAUACCCAAUUUGAGAUAUGUAUGAAAAGUUAUUACAUAGUUUGGUAUAUGUGCAUUAAAGUGACGUUUAUAUAAUUGCUUCUCCUAUAGGCGAGACCUAUCUGAAGGACGAGCGUAGCCAGGCUAGGCAUGGGGGUUACGACCCGGCUUCAUUUCAGUGAGUGGGCAGUUAUUUUCAGUAUAUAUAUAUACACACACCUGACGUUUUUCCCAGAAAAAGUAUUUAAAGGAAAUGUGAUUUAAAUGCCAUGCUAUGCCAAUGCCUAUAUUUUAUUUUAGUAUAUGCAUUAUCAUAAUUAUGCAUAUUGUCGCAUGGUGCUGUGAAGGCCCAGGUAAGCUCAGGUGAGUUAUGUUGAUUAUAUGAAUUAUCAAUAAUGUGAUAUGUGAUUGAAUAAUGUUGAGCUCAUAAAACUGCAUCUAGGGUGAUUGUGUUUUAGCCAGAGAUAUGAUACAUGCCUGUUUAUUAUGUCACCUCCCGCACCAUAUGCUCAUUUUGGAUCCAAUUUAGGUGCACAGUCUUGUCGUACAGACCUUAUUUAUGGUUCCGACUCAUAGGUGACUAGCGAUUAAUCGCUCGGCUAUUAUGUGAGAGUAGUAUUGAGCAUAAUUAUAUUACACCCAUUAUCGUCGUACAAACCUUUGGAUUUGGUUCCGACUCUUGUGCAGUAUAUUGCCGUAUAGAUCAUUGUAGUGACUCCGGCUAGAUUGACUUUUGAGCUAUGAAUUCAGCCGUUCAGACUACCACAGGGGUUUCGGCUAACAUAUCAUAUUUCUAUGAAAUCAUUCUUACCUGGAUCGUUACUUUGUUAUAUUUUGGCAUGGCAUACAUAUGAAUAUGAUUAUGUGAAGCAUGAUUGAAAUGAUAUAAUCACACACAUAUAUUUAUGUAUAUUCUUAUAUAUUAAUUUUGGGAAAAAUUAUACUUGUUUUACGGCGAUGGGUUAGUAUAUUCAAAGGAAAAUAAGGUUUUCAUGUAAAUGUGUUUUACUGACCCACUCAACUUUGUUUUUCGCCCCUUCAGGUUUUAGUUAGCAGAGUUUGGUGGCCACGAGGAAUUCAACGGUGUUCUGACAGAUCCCGAAAAAGUAGGAUUCACCAUCUGGUGUUGUAUCUUAGUAAUUGUCCGACUUGACUGCAACUAGACUUUCUUAUUGCUUUGAAAGUGUAUUUAUACACUUAAACUCUCACUAAUAUCCUUUCUUAAUUGGGAUUGUAAUCGCUUGGUUUUAAAUUGUUAGUAUUUCUCUUACUCUUUAUCACUUCCGCUUUGCGCUUAUGGCUGCGUCACUCUCACGUGACGGCCAGCACGUCUCAACUCCGGUUGGGGUGUGUCAUUUUUGAUAUUGAGUUUGAGGGUGAUAGUGACCAAUACUUGAUGGAAGCCAUGUUUUCAUGACCUUCUAUUAAGGUUAGAGAUAAAGUAAGUACUAGUUAAUUUAACAAAAAUUUAGUUGAGGCUUAACAAAUCAGACAAUUUCAAUAGGUUGGGUGUUUGUUUGGAAUGUUUAAAAAGAUUGAGACCAAUUUAGAAUGAAACUAAAAAGUUGAGGAUUUAUCCUUUAUAUUAUCAUGAAAGCUGAAAUUGUUAUUGUUGAUCAAUGUAUAGCAAUCAUAUAAAAUGUAAACUAAUGUACAAACUACAGUGCUUGGUUUGGGACUAUUUUUUAAUUUAUUUAUUUUAUCAAUUGUAAAAUGGGAUUUUAACUUGGGACUUCUUUUAAUACUAGUUUUGCCACUUAAUAUUACAAUCUAAUAAUAUUCAUCUUCAUUUGUAAGUAAUAAGUUUUUGGUUCAAUUAUCACCAAAAGCGAAUUUGAACCAUAUUAUUGCUAUUCCAUUAUGAGGCUUAGUCCACUCUUCCACUCCCUUAGUGUAGUAAAUAUUGUUCGCUAAAAAUAAAAAAAUACUAGCUCUUAAGUCUUGUUUAAGUUAUAUAUCAUAAUAAAAGUGAUUGAAAAUGUUCAUUUCAAGUAUCUCAUCAAUUUUUAUUAUAACACUUAAUGUACCGAAUUAUGUUUUCAGUACAUUGAAAAAUCUUUCCAAAACUAGAACCAAAAGCACCAAUAAAGUAAACAUAUAUACUUAACUUUUAAAGGUUUCUUUUGUUUUUGUUUUUUUAUAAUAUUUAUAUCCAAACGUGGUCUUUUUCCUCUUAAAUAUGUUUUGAAUCCUUGUUCUUGAAGUUUGGAAGCUGUUAGAAGUGGGCAAUUAGCAAUUUAGUAUUAGUUAAUUUGGAAUAUGCAUGGCUGGCUUUUUCUUGGGGAUGAGUAAAAUGGGCAUGUCUUUUAUGAUGAACUCCAUCCACGGCGUUUCUAAUUGUAUCAUGUGAAGAAUAAAAGUGAAAUAUUCCAAGAACCAGUUGGGAUGCUUUUAACUUUUCUUUCUUUAAUUUAAAAGAAUUUUGAGAUUCGAAAUUAAACUUUUUUCAGAAAUAAAUGGUACAAUAUUAUUCCACGUUUCAGUUCGAGCAGAUACAAAUGAAAGGUUUGGAGUUACUUGGACAUGAAGCAUCCACUUCUCUCGAAAAAGUAGACAAACAUACUAUUAAGCUCUUGUCCUUUUUAUCUUUUUUCUGAAACAAAGUGAUAUAUUUCCAACACCAACGUGGGGAUAAAAAGGACCAAGUCAUCGAGAAAAAAUAAUUGACAUGACUGCGAAUAUGGCUAAAGCAAGGGUUAGGAAAUGCCUAUCAAACAUGACGGUUUGGUUAGGUUUGGUGCGGUUUUCUUACACUUUAGUGAAGAAAACCAAACUAAAGCAGUUAAAUUAGUUUCAAAUCCAUUCAUGAGGAGAAACUUUAGAAAACCUAGAUGAAUGAUACCAUAUAAAAAUAUGACUCCUUAUAUUGAUUUGUGCAAGCUAUAUUUAGGUAAGAAUCCUCACUUACUAUAAUAAGGAAUUACAUUCCUAUAAUUCAUAGGAUACUCACAAAGAUAUUCCAAAUUAACUCAAUGAUUCAAUGAAAUAUCUUGGAUCUAUGUUAAAUUAGUGGAUAAAUGUAUCACUCAAAUGAAUUUAGUUUUAUGAUGUCAAUUAGGAUAGUCCUUGAAACAAUAAGGAAUUACAUUCCUAUAAUUCAUAAGAUACUCACAGAGAUGAUUCCGAAUUAACUAAGUAUACUCUAAGAGCAAGUCCACCGGGACUUGCUUUGCCCAGCCCCCAGCACAAAAAACAGCCUGGCCCUCAGUGAAAUUGCUCUAGCCCACAAAGUUGCCUGGCACCCAGCCCAUGCCAGGCAACAGCCCAGCCCAAUUUUGACAGACCAAGAAGUUGGCCUAUUUGGCUGGCGCGUGCAUGACAAGUGCGCCUGGGCGCGAGUAGCCGACAGGCUGCAGAGGGGCUGUCAGCCCACUUGUGUUCCGGAUCCCAUCGGCGACGUGGCAUGCUCAUAGCCGUUGGAUUUCCAACGGCUAGUUUUUCUAGACCGUUGGAUUUCCAACGGUAACAAAAAUUUAAAUUUUACUUUUAAAAUAGACCGUCCGAUCACAGAUCAACGGUCUACGUUAAUUAACUAAAUUAAAAUUUAUUAAAAAAUACAGAAAAAAUAUUAAAAAAUACAGAAAAUUUUAAAAAAUUUAUUUAUUUUUUCUAUAAAUACCUAACUCUCAUCUUCCACCUUACACCACAUUUCAAUAUUUUCUACACUUUCUACCAAAGCUUUCAUAUACUUUUUGUGUGAAAAAAAAAAUACCAAAAAGCUUGUGGUUGAAGAAUAAAGUGUAUUUGAUGAGUUUAUGUAAUUUCAUUUUAGUGUGUUUUUUUUAUAGUUUAUUUGAUGAGUAUGUAAUUUUAUUUUAGUGUGUAUUUUUUUUUAAGUUUAUUUGAAAUUUUAUCUGAAAUUGGUUAAAAAUCUUAUCCAAAAUAAACUUAAAAAAAAAAACACACCAAAUAAAUGCACUGGGUGCCAGCGCAUUUUUUUAGGGGUGGAGAUGCCUUGGCCUAUUACUGUUCACUCCAGCCUAUUACUGUUCAUUUGAGUGGAUAAAUGCGCUGGGUGCUGGCGCAAAGUCCUUAGGGGUGGAAUUGCUCUAAUAAUUACCUAUUAUUUAUUUGACAAAAGGUAUGUAGAAUUUCAAGUGGUAAUUGCACAAAACUUGAAAAGUUCAGUUACCAUAUUUAAUUAGUUUUGUAUUUUAUUUUUUAUUGGCACUUUCAAUGCUUAUUAGCAAAUUGAUGUUAUUAUUAGUUAAAGUGUCUUUUGAAGAUCUGGUUAAAUCUCACUUUGUCUUCUAAAAAUUAAAGCGACCUACAUUAUUCUUUCACUGAUAUUUUGUGUCCUACUUUGCACUCUACAGGUAAAUCUGUUAAAAAUCCUUGUUAAAAUAUUGGCGUGACACAAACGGAAUUCAUUAUUCGUUGAAUAUUUGUAAGGUGGGUGCCAUGCAUGCAUGAAAAAGUAAUAAUAAAAACAUUUUUCAAAAAGAAGUUGUUGAAUACUUCACCAUAUUGAUGUGCACGUUAUUUUGUUGUUAUGGCAAACAAGAUUGAAUUAGAAUUAUAGAGGGUUUGACUUCAACUGUCAUUGUCCAAACACAAAGGAAGAAAAUAAUAGAAAAUUAGUAGGAAGAGAAAAAUAAAUUGAAAUAUCUCAAGUGCCAUGCUAGCUUAUCUGUUUCCAAUCUCCAAUACGUAAUAAAAAACAAAAACAACUGUUAUUAACAUUUUAAAAUUUUAUAUUUUGUACUUUUUCGAGUGCAUUAUUUACUCUAAAUAUAGAAAAUUUGGAGUGUAAAUUAAAAUUUUUAGAGUGCUAAUAACAAUUUUCAAAACAAAAAUGGGAUAUUUGUCUGUAAGAGCUCGUUUGUAAGUGUUUUAGUAAAAAUAUUUUUAAAUCAAUUCAUAGUAAAAAUUCAAGUGGAUCAUAGUACAACACUUUAAGUGCUUCUUGCAAGAAGCACAUAUAUGUUGCUUCUUCCAAAAAACACUUAAAGUGCUUUUGAAAUCAGAAAAUCAAUUUCAUAAAAAGUGAUUUCAGUUAAUUUAAAGGGUAAUAAUAGGGAGACCAAAAUUUUAAACUAAAUUGCAAAUAAAAUGAUGUGUCAUCAACAGCAAAUAAGCACAUUAAUCAAUAUUUAAAUAAUAAUCUGAUCAUUAAUCAACACACUAUUUGAUUUGUAAAUUUAAUUUUAAUAAUUUGAUCUUUCCAACAUUAUCCUAAUUCAAAAAUACUUCUACACGAGCUUUAAAUGUUUGUGUACUAAUCGACGAGUUUCUUAUCAAUAAUACAACUAUUAUACAAAACUAAGUAAAUAGAUUUUCUCUGUCUCUCAUCAAUAAUUUUCCCAUCACUUUGGAAAAUUACGUUCUUAAUCAUCGAGGUGAUCCUGUGAUCACCUCGUCCUCAGCGGAUGGUGAGCAACAACCCACACGUGAACUGGUUUUCUUAAUCAAGAUGCCUAAAAGUGAGGGAUUCUCUUAUAAAAAUUCUGGUAAAUUGCUGUCCUUAUCUUCAGAUAACAAUGAAGAGAAAUGAAUGGGUUCGAAUUAUGAAAGUUCAUACAAUGAAAUGAUGUUGUGACAUCAUAUAAUGAGAAAUAAUUCCUUACAUGCAAGAAACCAAAUAAUGUUCUUAACAAAAAGCAUGCUCAAAUUUCAAACUCUCUUUUCUUCCUUGUACCACAUUGAAGUUGGGGCAAGGCCCUUCAGAGGCUCAGUCUUUGUUAUUAUUAUCCUUAUGUACACAUUUUCUCAUGUUAUCCAUCUAAAAUUUUUUUGCUCGAAUGAGAUUAUCGAUGAACUGUAUUUUUGUUUGAAAUUAGCUGAUGUAAUUUAUCAUUUACUUAGCUCGCAUGAGGUAUUAAUAGAGAGUGUGUGAGAGGUACAAAGUUGUGUAUGAAUACUUGUACCCUAAUUUUAUUGGAACACUCUUUUUUGGCUUAUUUUUAGCUAAGCUCUCUGAAACUCCAUUUUAUUUCUACUUUGCUAUCUGUAACUCAAAAGUUAUUACUUUACUUCUUGAAAUUCAAAAUUCAUUUCACUUUGACUUGUGAACUCCAUCUUCUCGUUGAAACUUAUAGGUCGUCUUCUGAAACAUAUGUGAGACCCAACACACAAUAAGACUAUGCCACAUAUGCAAUAAAUUUGAUUAUAAAUCUCCAUCGUUAACAUUCAACAAUAAGAGAAUAUUAAGUUUAAAAGAAGUUGAAGAGAUGAAAAAAAAAAUUAAAAAAAAAUAGAUUAGCCUGGUGCACUGAAAAUCAAUACCACAUAAGAAAUUAACAGAUCUAGGGCAACGUGGAGCAAAUUUUACGACUUUCAAGCUUUAAAGGGCAAAAUGAAAUAAAAAUCGAGUUCCAGAAGGCAAAGUGAAGCGACCUAUGUGUUUCAGAAAGUAAAGUGGAAAUUUUUGCGUUACAUGAAAGUGCCGCCUAAGUCUUUUUACAGCGACCCACUCUUUAAGUUCACUUUCCUCCUAUCCUCAAACAAACAAGUAGUAGGAGUUACUAUCUCAAAGAAACGAACAUAUGUGUAUCUUAAACUCGUGCUUUUCGUAUAAAAGAAGAAACCCAAGUCUAAAUUCGUGUUUUAUUUUGGUUGAAAAACUUAAAACUAAAGUUGGAAAGUUAAAAGAAAAUAGAAUCGAGGGCAGUGAGCCACAUGUAGAAUGGAGUUGACGUUUACUUCUACCAACCAGGGGCAGCUCCGUCAAUUUUGCUAAAUUAAAAUGACAGACGUCAUCCCGUCGUCUUCUCCGUUGGGGCCCACUCAUCCCUCGGCCCCGCCCUCGCUCACCCUCAACUUUCUAGAAGGACCAAGUCAGCAGGUUAAAUCCAUCUACCUCUCCAAUUUACGCGCCAACAAAGACCCAGCUGUACCGUCCACCUGUACACCCCUUCCGCUGAACGAGUCCGUCCUCGUCCCCCAAGUGGCACCGCGCCCCCACCCUCGGCGAACUGUAACAAACCCCCCUCUAACCCCAAAACCAAUGGCCCAGAUGCAACUUGUUCUCUCAGAUAUCCGCAAUUAAAUCUUAAAUAAAUUAAAAUGUUAAUAAAAUAUGUUUAAAAAGCGUUUGGAGCUCCCAAAUUAAUCCAUCGUGUCCGCUCCGUGUAAGCUUCGCUUUCCCCGGAGCAAACAAGAAAAGUUAAUUAGUACAAAGUAAAGUAAUUAAGAGAGUGAUUAAGUUUUUCUAAUUAUGGUAAAACUCUAAUCUCACCCCCUUCCCCUCCAUAAAACGCAGACCCUCUCUCUCCCUUCUGUCCCUCUUACUCUCUCACCUCUCUCUCUCCUCCCAACACACUCCUUCUCUCUCUAGUCGUUUAUAAUCUUAUCAAAUGGUUUGAAUUUGGAUUGGAUUGUGUGAGAAAUGCCAGCGACGGAAUACUCGUCAGCUGGUUCCAACCAAAUCGGACGGUCAAUCUUCGGCCUCAGACGCGAUCAGUUGAAUUCAAUGGAAACCCACGGCCUUUCAGGUGGUGGUGGCGGUGGUAGUGGUGGAUUGAACCUCGAUUCCUUCCAAACCCACGUCGCCGAUUGCUUCCUCCAACUCUCCUCCUCCCACGACCUCCUCUCCCUCCCAUGGCUCCGAGACCUCCUCGACUCCUUCCUCCGCAUACACCAGGAGUUCAAAACCCUCCUCAUCCUCUCCACCAAAACCCACAUCUCCAAACCCACCGUUGACCGCUACAUCUCCGACUACUUCGAGCGCAGCGUCAAAGCCCUAGACGUCUGCAACGCCAUCCGCGACGGAAUCGAGGAGAUGCGCCAGUGGCUCAAGCUGCUCGACAUCGUCCUCGUCGCGCUUGACCGCGACAGGACACUCGGCGAGGGCCAAUUUCGCCGCGCGAAGAAGGCUCUCGUCGACCUGGCCAUCGCAAUGCUCGACGACAAGGACUCCUCCAACACCACCAUAGCCCACCGGAACCGCUCCUUCGGCCGAAACAACAACACAAAGGAUCAUCACCAGCAGCAGCACCGGUCGCUCGGCCACUUCCGAUCUCUGUCCUGGAGCGUCUCGCGGUCGUGGUCGGCCGCGAGGCAGCUGCAGGCAAUCGGGAACAAUCUAUACGCCCCUAGGCCCAAUGAAAUUGUGGCCUCCAGCGGGCUCGCGCCGGCGGUUUUCACAAUCAAUUCGGUUUUGCUGUUCGUAAUGUGGGCCCUGGUGGCGGCGAUCCCCUGCCAGGACAGGGGACUGCAGGUGCAUUUCAACGUGCCGAGAAGCUUCGUGUGGGCGGGGUCAAUGCUGUCUCUGCACGAUCGGAUUAUGGACGAGUCGAAGCGGCGGGACCGGAGAAAUGCCUGCGCAUUGUUGAAGGAGAUUCAUCAGAUCGAAAGGUGCUCGCGGGUGAUCGGCGAUCUGGCAGACUCGGCGCACUUCCCGCUUGCGGAGGCGAAGGAGAAGGAGGUGAGGGAGAGAGUGCAGCAACUGUCGAGUCUCUGCGAGGGGAUAAAGGAGGGGUUGGAUCCUCUGGAGCGGCAGGUGAGGGAGGUGUUCCAUGCCAUUGUAAAAAGCCGAACGGAGGGGAUGGACUCGUACUGAAGAACUAAUAACCCCGAAUGAUCAUCGAAAUCAAUUGCCAAUUGAAGAAGAAGAAGACGAUGAGAUCAAUUUUGGCGCCAAUAAAAAUUGGGUAAGGAGGAGAUAUGACUUUUUUUCUUUCUUUGUAUUUAAUCAUCACUGAAUGGAUCAGCAGAUCACCAUAUAUAUUGUGUAUAGAAAUUAGGGUUUAUGCAAAUGGACCAACUUCUCCCUUUAAUUUGUGUUGUUGCUGAUUUAAUUUACCUUUGUAUAAUGGAAUUUCUGAGCAUGCUUCUGGCUGCUGCUCUUUCUCAUUUUUGUUCAGUUGUUACAUAAUCUUUCUUCUGUUCUCUGCUACUUACCGAUUACGAGAUACCAUUUGAGGAAUUCGAAUUUGUUUGUGGGUCGGAGAGAGAGAGAUUUGAGCCGUAUUCUAAUCUAAUCUGAACUACGGGGAAGAGAAUUCAAACAUAAGGGGGCAAUAUGCUGCCCUGGCUAGCUUGGCCACGCCUACGAAAUCAUUUGGAUUCUAGUUUAUUUGGGUUGAGUGUGUCUCAUUUUCCACCUCGUCGUUCCCAGUGCACAAGGCUCUCGCUUUACGCAGGGUCUGGGAGAGGUGAAUGUCGGCUAGCCUUACCCCCAUUUUAUGGAGAGACUGCUCCCAAGUCUCAUUUUCCACCUCAAUGUCGGAAAAUGACUCCAUCUCUCUUUUGUCCAGAAAACUGUACAGCGGAUUAAUGAUAGCAAAUUAUAUUUUGAUUGUUAAUGCAUGGUGAAUAGACAGAAGAAAUAAGGCAAAUCUGCUGUUCGAUUGUGGUUGGAAUUUUCUGCUUGCAAUAUUUCAAUAUGCAGCUUCAAGCACAGAAGGAAACUCCAAGUUACUCCAGAUGAAAAGGGCUGAUGUCGAUUCUGCUGACUUCCAUAUGCAGUAAGGUUAGGCUUUUAUGUAUUUCUGACUAUUUCUGGUGAACCUGAGAUUGAUUGGUGUUGGGUUAUUUAUGCAUAUGUUCCCACUCUUAUUGCAGGAUUUUGACUGUGAUUUGGUCGUGCGAAGACGCCUGUAAAGUUCAUCUGUUCUGAUCCUUGUGUAGGGUUUGAUUUUGUCAAUUCUCUUGGUUGAGUUCCAACUCUUGCCCAAGAAGAUGUUACCCUGAUUGCUUCGAUCUCAUUUUGUUUCCCUCUAAUGGAAAGAAAGGUAUGUAUCCAAAGUUUCUCGACCUUGUUUCGUUACAACAUCUGUUCACAUGAAAGUCAGAAGUUUAUUUCAUCUCAACUGAGUCCUCUGUUUUGAAGGUUACUUUUCUCUCUUUCAUUGUUUCCGUUCUUACCGUCUUCCUCUCCGCAAAGCUUGCCUUAUCUGUCUCUCCAUUGUUUUGAAAAUAGUCGGUCCAAAAGACUAGUUUUCCUACUGAUGUUACUUGGUGUACAGGGUUCGAUUUGAUCUCCACCUAAGGUUGUUAAGUACAGAGUGGUCUAGCUAAAUGCCUGCUUCAACACAUUGAAUCGGUCCCAUCCUGUGGCGGUUCAUCAGGAUAGCAGGUACUACUACUGAUAACUUGGACAGCAUGUUAUCAGUCGCCUGUACAUGCGAGAGCUUUUCCUAACCGUUAAUGGAUCAACGCUCAGGAUUCGCUCACGCAUGAGUGGGCGACUGAACAUAUUUUGACUUGCACUAGAUAGACUUAACCAAUCUUGUGCAUCGAAUGGAGCCGCUUGGAAUCGGUCUUUGUGAAGAUUUCCUCUAGCUGUUUAGAAAAAUAGGUUUUGGGUCAUCCUGUCACCGACUUAUCCUGAAUUCGGAGGGGGAGGAAUAAUAAUGCAGUUGGUAGACUGUAAACAUCACGACGACUGCUGAGAGCAGUUUAGCCUCUUAUCUUGCGCACCAACCUCGUCGAAACGAGAGGCUGCCAGAGGAAAGCAGUGGACCCUACAAAAACAAGAGUCUUAGAACUUCAGUGCCACCGAUUUUGUGUUAAGUCUUUCGAGUUGAUUCUAACAACAUCAAAAUUUUAUCUUACUAAAGGAAAACGAUUGUAUAAUCUUAGAACAACAAUGCAAUCGAUUUUGCGUGAAAUCUUUCAACUGGACCCUAAUUUUCUAAAUUAAGAAUUUGUAAGAGUAGUUAUCAAUGAGCUGUUGUUAAAUGUAGGGUUUAAAUGCUAAAAGCAAGUUUUUGUCUUUUGCCUUGGUUGUAUUGAUUGAUGGAGCUGAUGUGGCAUGUAUUGGGAAGGUGGGUUCAUGAAUUUAUGAUGCAGAUUGGAGAUUGGAUUGGAUUGGAGUUAUGGGAAUGCAUCCUACUUGGGUUCCUUGCUAGCUGUUGAGCCAUAAAUACCAAUAGCCUCUUUUGCCCUUAAUUGUUUGCAACUAAGAUCAUCUUCAAUCUACUCAAAAUUCAAAUCUUAUAUUUAAGGUCAUCUUCAACCGAAGGCUAGCAAAAUGAUUCGUUUUAGCCCUCUGGUCUUUUAAGAUAUUAAUAUUUUAAUAAACAAUACAUGGUCAUAUUUGCCUCCAUCUUCCACCGAGGGUCAAAUAUAAUUUAUUAUUUAAAUUUAAAAACCACAACAACUUAAAUUUAAAAACUACAACAACUUAAAUUUAAAAAACUACAACAUAUGUUUAAAAACUAUAACUUAAAUUUAAAAACUACAAAUUAAAUUAAAAUUUUGUAAAAUAGAAGUUAUAGAAAAAAAAUAGAAUUUAAAAAUAGAAGUUAUAGGAAAAAAAUUUGUAAAAAUAAAAAAUAAAAAUGGCUAGCUGACGUGAGCUAGCCGUUGCAUUUGAAAAUUUGGCCUAGCAUUCUUGUCGGAUAUAACCGACAAAAAUAUAUUAUAUUGCUAUCGGUUAUAUCCGAUAGGAAUGCUCAGAUUUCUGGUCCAGCCCGGGUUUGGCUGGAUUGGGCUAGCCUUUUGGCCCUUUCAGAUUAUGUGGGGCCCACGAGUCCUCUGGCCUAGUCCUCGGUCGGAGACGGUUUUCGGGCUAUUUUUGGCCAUCUGGCCCUCUGAACCUUUCAGUUGGAGAUGGCCUAAGUUGACUAGUAAUAUGACCGGAAACUUGAAAUUUAUUAUGGUUCGUUCAUUAUGUGGCUACUUGACAAAUGAUUUUAUUUAGCAAGUGGCUUGUAGCUCAGUUGGUUAAAAAUAUUUAUUUUUGUAAUGGAAGUCUUAUGUUCGAAUCUCUCUUUCCGUAAUGUGAAGUAGAUUAUCUUAUCGUUUGUAAAAAAAAAAAAAGGAAAAAAAGACAAACGACUUUAUUUAAUUACAACAACAAUAUAUUUGUGCUAAGGUACACAAUUGAUGGACCAUAAUAGUUUGGUUGGCAACUUGCCAUCCACAAAAAUCGAUCAUAAAACAUUCUACUUAUAAGUAAAAAUAAAUAUUACUAGACCGUAUAAUUUUAAAUUUUUUUUAAAGUUGAAAGUGGUAUCAAAGGACUAAAAAUUUUAGUUUUUAAGAAUUGAGUUAAAUGUUUCGAUUUUAUGAAUCAAUGAAUAUCGAACUUUCUCCGCAAAGACUUUAUAGCGUAAAUGUACACAAAAGAUCUUUGCCUCUUCCCCAUAAACUUGAUUUCCCAAUCUUUAUGCAAAUUUGUAAGCCAAAAUAAGUAAAAAAUUGAAUAUCAAUUAUAACAGAGGAAGUGAGAGUCGGAGGUCUCUUAACUCUACACACAGAUUAGAAGCUAUAUUUUUCUGGUUCUAAUCCUGCUGAUUGCUAGCACCAGCAGGGACACAAUAAGGGCUGAACCUGCAAUGAUAAAAGGAGAGCACAGCAGAUUAGACUUUUCCAAACCAUCCUUCUUCCCCAUAUCCUCACUUGAUUCCUCAUCAGCCACAUCACCUUGUUCCUCCGUUUCGGAAGAUUCAUCCUCUUCCUUCUCUUCAUUUUGUUCUUCAUUCUUUGAUACUUCUUCGAUUUUGUUUUCGUGACCUUUUUCGAUGGGUUCUUGCUUUGGUAGCUGCUGAACAAUAUCACCUUCUUUACGAACUCCGUCCGUAUUCUUUUCGUGUCCGACUUGUGCUUCUUCUUGUGUUGCUCUUCUGUCUUGUGCAAGUUUUGAUGAUUUGCCGCUCUCUGGUCUACUUCUAACGUGUUCCUCAAUCCCCGCCUUUGGUGUUUCUAUUUCGGGCUCUGCAGUAGAGUAUUCUUCAGCUGUUUCAUGCUUAGCAAUUGCCUGAGCUUCUUGUAAUGACCUUGUAACUUCAUGAGUUACUUCACUGGUUUUAUCCACAUUCACUGGCUCUUCAGCAUCCUUGCUGAUCCUUGGAGCCUUGUCCGCUACAAUUUGGUCUCUUCCGAGUUCCUUUCUUUCAACUUUCUCUUUCUCAACUCCAUCAGCUUCUUUAACCUUUGCAACUUUUAGCUCUUCACUGUGUUCCGAAACAGAUUUUGUUUGGUGUUGCAUACUUUGAGUCUUUGAAUCUUUAGCUUCUUCCUGCACUACGCCUCUGCUCGCAUCCUUUUCGAUAGCUCCAUCAGCUACAAUUUCUUUCUUGGAGCCCUCUUCAUCAACCCCUUUCGCAUCUGUUCGAUGAUUUUCUUCUACUUUCUUUUUCUCAAGCUCACCAAAUUGGUCCUCAAUUUUCCCCCUAAAACCAUAUUUUUCAGAGACUUCUCCAGCCGCAGGAGGUUUUGUGAGCUGCUGUCUCCCUAUAUCCACUUCAUCUUCUUUCACUUCCUCGAUCUCAACCCCGCGAAUUCCUUUCACCGAUUUUGGCAUGACGAUCGUGAGAGUUGAUUCGUGUGCAUUAAACUUGGCCUUGAUUCGAUCCAAAACCACUCUAUCCGGAAUUCGAAAGACUUUUCGGAAACCCCUCAUCUCCACCUCUUUCUUGUACAUUAUCCAUCCUGACAUAACCUUCUCUUGAACUGGCUUCUCCCCACUGAUUCCAAUCUGAGUCCCAUCUUCGUUUAUGUCGAUAUGUACACGCUCUCUUCUAUAACCUGCAAAAAUUAAUUUCUUAAAUAAAAACACACAUGUGAAUACUACGAGAGCGCUCACAUUAAGAUAAAAUGAAAAGAUACCGACCUUUGAGAUGGGCAGUGAGGAUGAACAUGGUUUCGGUUUCCUUAGACACGAAAAUAGGACCGGAUUUGUCCUUGGCAAUCCGAAGGUUGGCAGACGAAACAUGAUCGUCUACGCUGUGGGUGAUCUUGAGUCCUAAUUCUAGAUCCAUUGGUGGUUUUUCGUGUUAGAUAUCAAUUUCGGAAACUCAAAUUUUUAUUUCAUAAAAAGGGGUAGAAGAAUGUGGUUAUUGAAUUGAGGGAAAUGUUAGGUGAGCAUAUGAACAAAGUAAGCACAUAUUCAUUGCUUGUUAAUUAGGGCUGCUGCAACUGUUUAAAUCCUUUGCUUUCAUGAUAUUAUUGUUUGCCUUGGCGGGAAAGCUAACCUCUGUUUUUCAUACCAAAAACAUGCAAAUGUCCCUUGGGUUACUGUUAGACCUUAAAAACUACCAAGCCUACAUGGCGCGUAGGCCGAGUAAUUAAAAAGCUAACUAAGUCAUUCGGUUGUGUGCGGGGCAUGCCAACUCGUCGACCGAACUCGGCCGGGGAGUAAAAUGUGUUGAUGUUGCGUUGGGCGCGAUGCUGACUUCUUGAUCUUGCGACUAUGGCCGAGCAAGGAACACGUCUCAGCCUUCAGGUUCCAGAGCCUGAAGACAAGACUGCUAGUUCUGUGAAGUUCAAUAUCAAAUUCGGCCUUCAAAGUGCCGAAUGUAGUAACCUGUAACACCUCACUUCGUCGAGAAGGCUAAUAAGAUGACCUCUGCCAAUAAGGAGUCGAAAAUCCUUCUCGACCGAGACUUGGAUAGAUAACCAAUCGACCCCGACGCCGUGCUGUUUAUCCAAACUGAAGGUGCUCCGGGGUCGGUUGAUUUCACGGCAACAGUGCUGUUUAUCCAGACUGAAGGUGUCACCGAACUGAAGUUGUCACUGGUUGCCCUCAUAGUGCUGUUUAUCCAAACUGAAGAUGUGUUGGCAAAAAAGGAAAAUAAAAAUCUCAAGGUUAUUGAGAGGUUUCGCGUAGAGCGAGUUUGCGCAAGGCAGUUUGUGUGUUGAGUUUGAGGGGGCAUCACUUGUUGCAACGCACCUUGUAUUUAUAGCAUUCAUAUCUUCUACUGGGCACAACCAGAUAAUUUUGUAGAGUCUAACUACAACUCUAAUUCACGGAAAUGAACUUGAUCCGCAUCAGAAACCAAGGCAUAUCCUUCAAAUUGAUCCGUGGGAUUUGUUUCUAGACUUUUCAAACCUAAUAAAAGUUAGGCUUAUCACAUCUCAUAAAAAGCUUGGCCCACCGAGGCUUCUUAUCAUCAAAACUCCAUCAGUAGCUUUUAAACCCAUCUGACAUCACCAUGCAAAAAGGCCUAGUCUACCUAGGUUCUUUAUCCCAUCAUUAUCCAAGACCAUGAUUUUAAGAUCAUCAAAUCCCAUAUGUUGAUCUCCACUCCAAGCUAUUUCAAUCUACACAUCCACUGCUAGACGUCCAAAUCAAUUUGAACCGCACCGCUUGCUUCAUUAUCUAACGCCAUAUAUAUCCCAAUAUCCCACCAUCAUUUUAAUUGGGAUUUAGACAAAUAUUAGGUUUAAAUAAUUUAAUAUAUUACCAAGAGAUAAUAUAAUGAUUAAAAUCACAAUAUUAUUUCUCAAUAAUAACUAAAAAGGUAAAUUACAUAGUAACCCCUCAGGUUUGAAGUCUAUUACAGCCCCAUACAACAUCUUUAAAACAUUUCACUUUCAUACCUUAAGUACUAUUUUAUUUCAAUUUCAUACAUACGUUACAUUUUCCAUCCAUUGAUCCGUUAAGUACUGAUGUGGCUGGCAAAUGCGUGUCAAGUGGCAAUUUUUAUUUUAUUUUAAUUUUUUUAAACUAAAUCUUCUAAAUAUUAAAAAAAUAAAAAAAAAUAAAAACUAAAACCUUAUCCCCCUCAUCCUCCUCUCUUCUCCCCGCAACCCCCAAACCUCUCCCCCAUUUUCAUCUUCUUCCCUGCAACCCAGAAAGAAAGGAAAAAAAAAAAACCCUUUAAGUUCGUCUUUCCGGCCCCCUCUUCCCCUCUCUUCUCCCCCAUCUUCAUCUUUUUUCCCCCGACCCCCUACCUGUAACCCAAAAAAAAAAAAAAAAAAACCCAGAUCCCGUCUCGCCAUUGUCGUGUUCGUGGAACGGGUGUGGAUUUAAGGAGUGAGGGGUGUUUAGAGGAGAGUGAGGGUUGUGUAGAGAGGAGAAAAGGGUGGGCGGUGGGGUUGCAGAUGAGAGAAGAGAUGGGGUCGGGUUCUGGGUGACCUGUAUCGCGGAAGGGGGGAUGAGGGUUCUGGGUUGACCUGCAUCGCACCGCGGGGGGGCUGGGGUGACGAGCGUCGUACCAGGGAUAUGGGGUUACAGGGAUCUAAGGGAUAGAUCUGGGUUUUUAGUUUUUUUUGGGGGGGGGGUUAUGGGGAUAUGAAAUAGGUUUUUUUUUAAUUUUUUAAUUUUUAAUUUUAAUAUAUAUAUAUAUAUAUAUAGAAAAUUUAGGUUUUUUUAAUUAAAAAAUUAGUAUUUAUGCCACAUGGUGUGUCACGUUGGCAGCCACGUCAGCACUUAACGGAUUAAUGGAUGAAAAAUGUAACGGAUGUAUGAAAUUGAAAUAAAAUAGUACUUAACGUAUGAAAGUGAAAUGUUUUAAAGAUGUUGUAUGGGGUUGUAAUAGACCUCAAACUUGAGAGGUUACUAUGUAAUUUACCCUAACUAAAAAUCAUUUCAACCACUUUGUCAUUCAAUGGCCUAAAAUCCUGCUCAUUCAACGGCCUUGAUUACUCAGGCCGAUAGUGUAAAAUCGGGUCCAAACAUUGCCCCCCCCCAGUUUCCUUAACUUUUCGGCUCGUAAGCCAAAUAGUUAAGGAAAUUAAUUAUUCGUAGCCAACAAAAUCCCAUCACAUUACUGAAAAAGAAACUUUGUUCCUUGGCAAUAACAUGUAUGUUCUGCCAACGCUGUGGUCUUCCUCGACUGCCACAAUUCUAUACAAGGUUUGGCGACUUUGCCAGAAAAACCUUGUAAUUACUUUGACCAUCCAACUCAUACGGUCGAAAUGCAAAUGGGGCCGAGAAAAACUGGGCCGAGAAGAACCUGAUUCUUGAUAGCUCGGCGUGUCACCCACCAUGAAUAUUGCAAUCCCUUUUUCUGAAACAAUCACAUGUGGAUAGCUUGACCAAGUUUGGCCUGUCAUUCAGCCAUCCACUCAUCAACAUUAUUAUAUACAUAUAUAAAAACCAAGGCCAUAAAAAACAAAAUCAAAUCUUGGCUUAUUGGCCUAUUCAGUCUAACUUGGAAUGAUGUUGUUAGCCAUGCAUAUUUCUAUCACAUUUUAUUAUUUUCUGACUCCCAGCUCCACCAAAUAGUCUCUGCUAAGAGCAACUUCAGUGUGGGCUGGUGCUCGGGGGACGGGGGACAAAAUAGGGCCAGAUAGCCAGGCCUUGAAGCUCCAAUGUGGGUAGCCCGAGGGAGAGUGGAGGCUCGAGCUCCGCGCCUAUGAGGAAUUGCCAGCCCAAGAGCCCGAGUGGUUGUGAUGUCAUCCUAGCGCAAUGACAACAUUCUGAAGUAACUCCCUAAAACCAACUGUCUUAUUCUUCUUCCUCCUCUUUUGCUGCUACAUUUCAAUGGAAGACGAUAAUGAUGAUGAAUCACCAAUUAAAUCACUUGGCUUACAAAAGACCGAGACUAGGACUAAGCUGUGGAAGAGAGCAAUGCGCAGCUUGUGCAAGUCGACGGCUUCAACAUCGUCGUCGUCGGCGUAAUUGGGGAACCGGUGGGGUGAGAUGUUGCAGGUGGUGAAGAGGUCUCGGAGGUCGGAUGGGUGUACGUGAGAUGGGUUUGUGGAUAUAAAAUUGGGACCAUGGCUUGCAGGGGAAAUGGCGAUUUGAACUUUGAUGGUGUUUUUAUGGUUUUUUCCAUCUGGGUUUUACGUCUGAUGCUCACCCAUUUCAACUCCAUACUUUUGACGGACAUGGUGGCAGCCGCCGUAGCCACCACUGCACUGACCUCCAUUCUCUUUCUCUUUGCUUUUAUUCUGCGUCGAUAGUGGAAGAUAAUGGGUAUACGUAAUUGUCUUUUCGGGUAAUGACACGUUGCGCAACGAGAACGAUUAAAAAUCUGAUCGAAAUCUAUCCUCAAAGAUUCUGAAAAAGUAAGGACACGUGGCACGACGACAUUGGAUAAAAAUCUUAUCGAAAUCCAUCACCAAUAAUUGUCUUUUCGGAUAAUGACACGUGGCGCAACGAGAAUGAUUAAAAAUCUUAUCCGAAAUUACAAAUAAAAAAUUAUUAUGUAUUAUUUAAAAAAAAAUAUAUUUUAUUGCCUAUUGCCAGGGCUAUUCAAGUGCAACGGUGGAGAUACAAAAUGCAGUUACUAUUCAUUAAGGGCAGUUACUGUUCAUAGGGUGGAUUGAAUAGUGAAUAGCUUAGGGGAGGGCUCCCACGCUGGAGUUGCUCUAAACGCAUCGAAUAACAUCCUUGCUGAAGAAAUUCGAGGAAAACCAAAACAAGUGUCUCCAUUGAGAUUCAAGGCCGUGUAGACCUACCGAAUGAUAAAUCCAACUUCAUCGAAUUUUUUCCUGAUCAUUUUCGGCCUUUGAGAUCCAUCGCCCAACUUGCUUACUCUUAGCCUAAAUAGCCAAAAGUUUUUUUUUUUAGUAACCACAUGGUAGAUGCCAUACAAGUAAUAUAUGCUGCCACGUCCAUUUGCUCCUACCAUCGAGUUUUUGUACGAGGUUAGAAGGAUGUUCGCAAGGACUCUCUUGUGCACUCAAACCGUCAGUUCGAAAACUAAACCCAAUACUCGUACAUUCCCUGACCGCUGAGCACCUCCGAGUGACACCGAAAAAUAUAUGGUCGAGGAAAAAUGAGCAUCCACUGCCGAAUAAAAAUUUUACCAAAGCUCUACCGAAGAAGUCUAUCACCAAAGCUAUGGUUGAAGAAAUAUAUGGUCGAGGACAAAAUCCUCCUGUUGACUUGGGUGAUGCAAACCACCAAAUUGAUUUACGCCGACUUCGACCAAAGCUCAUAUAUGCUCUGAUAUUUGUAUAAAUAGGCCUCAUGCCCAACUUUACAACUUCCACUUAGAUAGCCUUUUACUGUAGACGUGCCAUGUUAUGGAAAAGACCCCAUGAUUUUACCACGAUAACCAGUGCCGAGCAACAGUUCAUGCUCGCCGAGCUCGGCAAAAAAAUUGGCAUAUAAGACCUUGAAUCUGCCAACGCCUAUAUGGCCGAAGUUUCAGGAGGUUACUUCGGCAAAAAGCUGGCAUAUAUAUGUGUGUGUGUAUAUAUAUAUUUGACAAUAAAAGUGGUCUUGUCUUGACUGAUCAACGGUGCCACAUGGGAUAUUCCUUGGCCCAGUAUAUAAGACCUAUAUAUCACCUGUUGUUGAUACGUAUUCUAACAUAACUUGGAAGCAAAUCAUGAUCCUCACGUCAAACAUGUCCAUAGGCUAAAGCUUGCUGCCUCUUUUGUCUUAAUCACAUCACAUCAUCAUAUUACUAUUUCACCUUUAUCCCAUGCAUGGAUUAAUUGCACGAAAUUAAGCCAGUAGUAGCUGUACUGCCGCAUGAGCCUGCCAUCACCCAUAUGCCGAAUAUCCCCAAUUAAUUUGAAUAGUAGGAUAGAGAUUUCUGCACUGAGCAUCAAUUUUACCAAGUAGCUAUUUAAUUCACUCAUUCUCGGCGAAAUAUUUUUUACCGUCGAAAUAUACCACAUGUGCCCCCUUUAUUUUCUUAAGCAUCGGCUUCUCGGCCUAAUGGUUAAGAAAAUAAUUUUUUCACCUUUUUUUUUUUUAGCAAAAUAAAAUGAAAACGGCUGAAUCAUAAUCAGGAGGAGGCCAGCGAUGCUUGAUUCCAAGCCGAGAUCUUUUAUAUCAAAAUUUCCACUUUGAGUUUUUCUAAGGCUGAAUAGAAUAACAUCUCCAAAUAUGUUUGGCUUAAUGAAAUAUUUUUUAUCAUCGGCCGCCGAAUGUGUUGAACAAUUAUUAUGCCCCCCAGGCAUAAUAAUUCUGCCAAUUUCUGUUUUUAACUCGAACAACUUAGCCGAACAAGAUUUCUCCAUAUCGGCUUUAUCACCAAUAAUCAUAUCGAUUGGCGUGGUUUUUCCGGCUAGGCCUAUGUCUCGGCCUUGUUUGUCAUUAGAGCACUCCUCUAACGAAUCAUUUUCUAAAUCGACUUUUGGCUCAUAAACUUGAACUCUUUCUUCUAGGCCUACCACACUUUCAGUCUCGACCGAGACAACAGGUGGCCUAGGUGUUUCUUCGGCUGUCUUGGCAAUUUCUUGUGGCCGAAUUUUUAUUAUGGCCAGAGCGAAAAAUUUCCCCCCAGUCUUUUGAUCCAACCAUUCUUCAAAUGGAAUUAAUUUGAACCUAGGACAAAAAGACGUUUUCUUAUCGAACCACUCAUCAAAUUGAGCUCUAUCUUCUUUUAACCAUUGAUCUUGUAAGCUGUGAUGAACCUUCACCUUUAUCAUUUGAGAGAAAGAUUUUUCCCUUUCUUCAUAUGCUUCAAUAAUCUGGUCAAGGUUUGUUAUACCUCUCGGCAUUUUCCUUUAAUAAGCGCCAAAUCUCACCCUCACUAAGAUCUUGAUAUAUCAUGUGAACUUCGUAGUUUUAGCAUUGUGUCCCACUGGGCGUGCCAAAAUGUUGACCCUAAAAACUACCAAGCCUACAUGGCACGCAGGCCGAGUAAUUAAAAAGCUAACUACAUCCUUCGGUUGUGUGCGGGGCGUGCCAACUCGUCGACCGAACUCAGCCAGGGAGUAAAAUGUGUUGAUGUUGCGUUGGGCGCGCUGCUGACUUCUUGAUCUUGCGACUACGGCCGAGGAAUGAACACGUCUCGGCCUUUGGGGUCCAGAGCCUGAAGACAAGGCUGCUAGUUCUGCGAAGUUCAAUAUCAAAUUUGGCCUUCAAAGUGCCAAAUGUAGUAACCUGUAACACCUCACUUCGUCGAGAAGGCUAAUGAGAUGACCUCUGCCAAUAAGGAUUCGAAAAUCCUUCUCGACCGAGACUUGGAUAGAUAAUCAGUCGGCCCCGACGCAAUGUUGUUUAUCCAAACUGAAGGUGUUCCGGGGUCGGCUGAUUCUAAGGCAACAUUGCUAUUUAUCCAAACUGAAGGUGUCACCGGUUGCCUUCACAAUGUUGUUUAUCCAAAUUGAAGAUUUGUUGGAGAAAAAGGAAAAUAAAAAUCUCAAGGUUAUUGAGAGGUUUCGCGUAGAAUGAGUUUGUGCAGGGCAGUUUGUGUGUUGAGUUGGAUGGGGCAUCACUUGUUGCAACGCACCUUGUAUUUAUAGCAUUUAUAUCUUCUACUAGGCACAACCAGAUAAUUUUGUAGAGUCCAACUACAACUCUAACUCGCGAAACUGAACUUGAUUCGCAUCAGAAACCAAGGCAUAUCCGUCAAAUUGAUAUGUGGGAUUUGUUUCUUGACUUUUCACACCUAAUAAAAGUUAGGCUUAUCACAUCUCAUAAGAAGCCUAGCCCACCUAGACUUCUUAUCAUCAAAACUCCAUCAGUAGCUUUUAAACCCAUCUGACAUCACCAUGCAAAAAGGCCUAUUCUACCUAGGUUCCUUAUCCCAUCAUUAUCCAAGACCAUGAUUUUAAGAUCAUCAAAUCCCAUAUGCUAAUCUCCACUCCAAGCUAUUUCAAUCUACACGUCCACUACCAGACAUCCAAAUCAAUUUGAACUGCACUGCUUGCUUCAUUAUCUGACGCCGUGCAUAUCCCAAUAUCCCACCAUCAUUUUAAUUGGGAUUUAGACAAAUAUUAGGUUUAAAUAAUUUAAUAUAUUACUAAGAGAUAAUAUAAUGAUUAAAAUCACAAUAUUAUUUCUCAGUCAUAACUAAAAAUCAUUUCAACCACUUUGUCAUUCAAUGGCCUAAAAUCCUGCUCAUUCAACGGCCUUGAUUACUCGGGCCGAUAGUGUAAAAUCGGGUCCAAACAGUUACUUAAUUAAGGCCUUCAAUCAAGUUCAAAGCAAUGCGUGUUCAUAUUCAUCAUCUGAGCCAGAAAAUUUUGUGACCAAGUUAAAGAAAGAGAGGGAGGGUUGAACCCGGGAUGCAGUGGAUUAAAAACGAAGACCUCAACCAACAUAAUAAUCCACUUGCAAUUCAAGGAUACAUUUGAAUGAUAUCAAAUUUGUUUAGUUUUUGACAAGAUUAUAUUUUGUCUACUCACAAAAGGAGUCAUUUAGUUCGGCGCUCCAAACACGCGGUUGUUUUGUCAAGACUCAUUGAAUGAGAUCACGAAGGAUGGAUGAGUGGAACCAGGAAGGGGGUGGGUGUUGGCCUGAAUAUUGGGUGUAGGCGUGGCUUGAAUAUUUUUGUGUCUUGGUCGUAAAGUGAGAUGGCAUGGUCUCACCAAUACCAAGAUUUUUCUGCUAGAAUACAUGGAUUCAAACAAAUGGACGAGACCACUGCUUUGGCCAACUGACCUAGUAUUCACGUCAUACAAUAUUUGAGUGGAAAAGUUUUCAAGUUCGAACCCUCCCUCCCUUCUUGAUAAAAAGGGAAAGUAUUCGAGUAAAAAUGAUUGAACACCAUUAUAAUCUGUUCAAAUGGAUUUUAGUGCCCAAGGAAAGAAAAGGACUGAAGUUCACAACUCAUUUUGUUCAUUCUUGAACAAGAGGAAAGUCCACCAGAAAAGUGUUCAUCAUUGCAUAUAUAUAUAUUUCACUUCGGGCUGCAGCAUAAUCAUCUGUGAAGAUUAUUUUGGUAGACAUUGUGGCUUUCUUCUUGUCUGCAAAUCACUUUCUUAUAAAUAUGCAUAUUAGCUCGUUAUAAUCACAAAACAAAAAUUUAUACACAUUGGUCAAACUAUAAUUUGUCUGUCAGGAGAGACGACUCUUCUAAACUAAGCACUACAGUGAAACCUCAAUUUUUUUUAAUUUUCUGACGUCUUUCAUGUUUCAUGUUGUGUAAUUAAUAUGCAGAUUUUAACUAUAUGCCCACCACCUCCACUCAUCGAGCCACAGAUCCACAAGGGGUGGUUCAGAUGGAAACUUUUCCUUGAAAGUUGGACAAAUGGAUCACAGGUCAUAGGAGUUACCCAAAUGGUGUAAAACAUCAUUCAUUUAAUCAGUUGUGCCUUUGUUUUGUGGUUGUGGAGGGAUCCAAAGUCCAUAUCCAUGUACCUCCUCAAAUUCAAUUGGGGUGGGAUAACUUUAGUCAAAGUGUCAACUAGGUCAUUGGUCUUGUGACUUUUGAAAUUUAAAAUUCCUCCAAAAUUAAAAGUGGAAAUGAGCAGGAUAAAAAGUGGAGAGAAAAAAAAAAGAAAGAGAGAAAUUAGCAAUUGAUUGCAUGCAAAAAUUAAAGGAGCAAAAAAUGGCAAUGAUUUCCAAAGUAGGGACUUUAAUCUAAGAGCAUCAUUACACUACACUACAUGGUGUAUAAUCAUCAAACCACCAUUACAAAUUACAAAACUCUGAUGAAGAUUAACCUACCUACCUCAGAAAUUCCAUUUGCUAUUUUACAAACUACAUAACAUACCCCCCCUUUUCUCUCUCUCUCUCUCUCUCUCUCUCUCUCUCUCUCUCUCUCUACAGCACCAGGAAAACCACACAAAACAGAGCCAAUUCCAUUUGAGCAGCAAAUAACCCCGCCAGCGCCUGCAACCCACAAUCCAAAAGAACCCAAUCAAUAGUUUCCAAAAAAAAAAAAAAAAAAAAAGAAACCAAUCAACAUCCCAUCAAUAUUCAAAAGUAACAAAAAGUAGAAAAAAAAAUUUACAUACACUGAUACAUAUACAGUUUUCAUGUAUAUUAAUAAUAACUUAUGCUUUGUAGCCAUGCUUUACUAAUCACUAUUUUCUUAUGUGCUAUUUUUUUUUACACAAACGAAAUUAUUCUAAGCUACACUAAAGAAAUGAUGAAGAGUUUGAAUUCGGAACAAUGGAUUAAAAAAUGAACCACUCAUCAAAGCAAUCCACCAAUUGCACGCCGAGGUUCAUUUUAUUAAUUUUUUUUAUUUUUUUUGAAGAAAUGAACACAUUUUAAUGCUUCAGUUGAUGAAGAAGUAAUAAGUAAUAACCAACUACAUGAUGCAAAUUGAAUGUUUGAGCAUGUAACCAAAAACUAAAAUAAUCAACAAUGGAAAUGGUUACCUGUCUCUGGUGGCCAGAGGUUGGUACAGGGCGUAUUGUGGUUGAAUCCACUUCACCAGUGGGCAAAGGAACAGCAGGAUUACUGUUAAUGAAUGGGAUUCCACCGCCGCCGCCUCCUUUAUCUGUCACUGAAGAGCUUACGCUUGGUUGUGGGCUGGGAGCUAAUGCCACUUGGCGAGGAUGGAAUGGCCAUGGGAAUACUGGAGAUGAUGAAACUCCACCACCACCAGAUUUCGGUGUUGGGGCCACGGUUGGAGGAAGCUGCGGAGAGAUUCUUGAACUUGAACCGGAACUCUGCGGCGGCGGUGCGGAGGAGGAGGAGACUGUUAUGGCCAGCUUCUGGGUGUUUUGGCAUGUUUUGAGCAGAGAGCCAUUGUUGAAGGCAAAGUAGAAGAAACCAGUGCGUGAUGGGUGCCACUUUGCAAUGUAACAAGAAAAAUUUCAGUCAGAAAGCUCAGAUCUUUGAGAAAAUCAUGACUUACCCAGAUGAAAAUUACUAGUUUUGAAGCUAAUAUACUGAAAACCCAGGUUCGAACACACAUUUAAUCGAGCUAAUUCUCAAGAAUCCCACAGAAAAACAGAGCCAUUUUAGAGAGAGAGAGAGACAGAGAGAGAUACCGUGAAGGAGGUGGAGUCAGGUUUGCUGAGAAGAGUGGCUUGAGUGAAAUUGCAGAGAUCGAAGGCUCUUUGGUUCUGGAAAAUGUAGAGGUUGUACUGAUACGUGUGCUUGAAAACUGAAAAAUGCUCAAGAAAAUAUUGAAUCAAAAACAAAGAAAAUAAAGUUGUUGAAUUUGUUUGGUUUUUGACAAAUGCAAAGUACUUACUGACGGAGUCUCCUACAUGAACAGUUGGGUUUUUCCACUCUGAAACUCCAUCAACUAGUAUUGUCGUGGAGUGAGAAUGCUGGAAGAGUAAAGCGAGCAAGCACAGCACGAUGAGCAUGGAGAACUUCAUGGAGAGCUUCUCUUUUGAAAUUUUUUGUCACCACAAAGUAUAAAGAUGGUUUAUUAAGAUUAGACACAGGUUCCAGUCCUUUGUGGCCUUGCCCUUUAUCUAUUUAUUUGUCUAAUAUAAACGGCUUCACUUAUAUGGUAUUCUGAUUCAAUAAUAUAAUGAUGGUUAUAUGUAUAUCUUUGUAUGAUAAUAUAUUAUUCAAUCGGGAUAAUAUCGUGACAGUGAACUUGUUUCAUGUAAGUUGCUCUAUUUUUAGCUGUUUCAACCAUGCUAUUUUGGAUCAAUAAUUUGAGACCACGUUUUUUUAACUUUCUCACAUAUCACUUUAUCAUUAAUAAAAAAUGUGAUAAUAUUAGGGAGUAGAUUCAUUCUUUGAGCCAUUGGAAAGAUUUUUCAUGUGCCGGCAACACGGCCUUAUAUACCAAGUAUUAUAAUACAACUGAUUAGAUACUUACAAAAAAGAAUUUCCAAUUAUUUGUAUUAUAACACUUAGGGGUGGUUCGGUAUGGGAUCCCAAAUCGAAAAUGGUAUUCUGAAUUCCAACUGAAAAUUUUCAAGACAGGAAUUUGAACACCAAUCUCGAAUCGAAAUUUCGGUAUUCCCAAAUUUCGGGAUUCGCGAUAUGUUUUUAGUAUUUUGGGAUUGGAUUUUUGGUUUUGGGCUUAUGGGUUGAAAUUUGAGAUUUUUGAGGUAUGAAAUUUGGGCCUUUGGCCUAAUUUUUUUUUUCCAAUUUCAUAUCAAUUGAAAUUUAAGCUUUUAUCUCAUACAAAUUUGAAAUUUCAUACCAAUCAAAAGACCAUUUCAUUCGUAACAAGUCAAACUGAUGUUUCAAAGUUCCAAACUACUUAAAUUUCAUACUUCUAUCCCUAAUAUAAUUUAAGAAAAACUAAUGAAAAAAGCUUGAAAACUUUGAGUUUUAACGAUAAGUACAAAAUAAAGGGUAAAAUGAAUAGUAUCAUGAUUGACUUUCUAGUGUAAAAAUAUGGUUUUUCGUUAAAGUAAAUAGUACCGUAGGCUUUUCGUUAGAACAUUCAACAUGCAACAACCAAAAUAAAUAUAUAUAUUUUUUCAGUUCGGUUCAGGAUUCCCAAACCAUUGAAUAUGUAAUCAUGAUUCCUGUACCGAAAAAUUUGGGAUCAGUUCGGUAUGGAUCCCAAAAAUUUCAGUAUUAUCAAUUUGAAAAUUUUUCGAUAUGGAUCGAGAUUUUUUUUAGUUUGGUUUAGGAUUUUCAGGAUAAAUUUCUAGCCCUAAUAACACUUAUAUCAAGUUAUAUUUCUGACAUACUUAAAAGUUUCUCGGGCAUAGACAAAGGAGGAGUGUUUUUAAAAACUGUUGAAAGAGGAGAGUAAGUGUAAGCACGGAGGCUGGUAAAAUGUCGGUAGUGGUUUGCUUUUUCCAUAUGAAGAGUUUGAAUGGAUGACAGACAUAAAUACGGUCUCAUUAUUUUUCACAGUAAAAGGUUGAAUCAUUUUGUUGGUAUAAAAAACCCUUUUAAAGAAUAAAGAUUUAAAGAAAAGGAAAAAGAGAGGAUUAAAAAAAAAAAAAAAGAGUGAGAAAGAGAAGGGGUCUUUUGGGUGGCUCUGAUGGUUAAUGAUGGAGAUUAUUAUUCUAAAAUGAUUAGCUCUUUGAUUAUGAACCUGCAGUCUGUAUUUUUUCAAUCCAAAUAAAUUAAUGUCUUGGGAGGUGGAGGACUGCAAAUCACUUUCUUUUAGGAUUUUUCUUUUAAUUUCCUUUUUAUUCAAUCCAUAAAUAAUGUAAUUAGCUCAUACUUUGAUGCAUAAAAUAAUUUUAAGGGAAUAAAAUCUUUAAAGCUCUUUCUUUUCUUUUAAUAUUUGAUCUUUUCUGGUAAACAUAUUGCUUGCUGCCAUGUUUUCCAUGUUGCAAAGGCAAAUGGAAAGCAACUUCUCCUUACCAGUUAUAAGGAACUUUAUAGGUUUGUUGAACUCAAAAUUUCAUCAAACACCCCCUAUAGCCUUGAUGAAAUUUAUAUUUUGGUAUCAGGAGAAACUACUUAGAUGUCAGUGGAAGGAAUUCUCCACGUAACGUAGGUCUGUUAGUGUUCUUGUUUGUUCUUCGACAUUGCAAUAAAGUGGUGUAUCUAAUAGCAGUUUAUGUCUUUAAAGAAAAAUGUGUGUUUCAAUGGGAUACUUGGGAGCCAAUUUGGCUCUUCAAAUCAUUAUUGCUUCAACUGCUUUGAUUUUUUACUUCCUCCCUUCGUAGAUAUGAAGAAAGAGGUAUUGUUCGAACCAAAUUUGCGAAAAUCAUGAUCUCACAGCAUUCAUCAUCCAUGCAUGAAAAAUGUUGGUCACAUAUAAUGAAGAGAUUUUUCAGUGUGAUCGAAACAUGAGGUGGUACACUACGUGUCACUAUACAAAUAGUGGAAUAUGUGUGUUAAAAAGUUUAUAACUUAAAAAAUACAAUUUUCCAUCACUUAUAUAAAAACACAUGAUGUACUAUCCGGGUUCUGGUUAAUAGGAAAAAUUUAUCCAUAUAAUGCAAGUGCAAGUGCAUAAAAAGAAGGGAAGUGGCGUGGAGGCAGAGAGCAGAGAGCAGAGAGCAAGCAUGGCCGGCAUCAUAUGCAGCAAAAGGAACCUUAAAUUUGAUCUGUAUUUGUCGAUGAGGUCUGUGGGCCAACUCCUACUUUAUAUACGCCGAAAACAUAAAGAUAACAAAAGCACUUGGCAGGGAACUAAAAGACAAACACUAGAGUAAAAAGGACUUUGAAUGGAUAAAAGAGAGAAAUACAUGUAAGUUAAAAAGAGAAAUUAUUAGGAAUCUGUACUUGAUUUUACGAUAGUUUAAUAUUAAAAAUAUGAAAUGAUUAAAAUAUUUUUAGAGAUGAGAAUGUUGACUUUGAUUGAUGGUCGUGUCGUGACGCGUAUGACUCAUUCAUUUGACGUAUUCUAAGAGUACUCGACGUUACGAACUCGUGGACGCAAGCGGAAUCGAAGACAUAUCUAAAGGUAAUUGAAUCUAAAUAAAGUAAUGUAGGAAGAAAAAAAAUCAAAGGAAAGAAAAACAUAAAAUAAAUAAAUAAAAUAGAAAAUGAUACAACGGGUACUUCGCUACCGAUUGUACGUGGAAACAGUCGCUAGAGAGGUAGUGAACACACCCCGUAGAAAUCGCUAGCGAGAUAGUGACUAUACAAAAAAUCAGUCGCUAGUAUCAUACCAAUCCUCCAUUUUCAAUUAUUUUUCUUUUUUAUUUAUUUAUUUUUGUUAAUAUUUAUUUAUUUUAUUUCUCUUACUAUAACAACAAACUUUUAUAUUCAUAUUCUUCAAAAUAUAUUUUUCUGUGAAAAAUCCAUUAUAAUUCAUUUUAAACACUUGUAAUCAACGAUUUAAAACCUAAAUUUAAAGAUAUUUGAAUUUAAUAGUGAUUACUCAAAUAAAGUAAAUAAAUUGGAAUAGGGAAAGACAAAUACCACGGUAUUGAUUCUCGCCCAGACGUACUUAAAUUGUUCUAUCUAUUUAUUUUCACCUUCGCCUCACCGUAAAGUUUUAAAAAUUAAGGUAAGAUUUUCCGUUGAUAUUCUUAAGGGUAGAACCCCAUUUGAUAAUGUUUUGGGUCUCACUAUUGUAUUUUUCACUUAUUUUUUUAGUUUUCGGCUUAAAUAUUCUACUAAAUAUACAUUUGUUGCUCAAUAAGUUGUAAAACCACUUCCAAAUGUCUUAUAAAGUUUUCUUUAAUGCUCAUGGAAAAUAUUUCGCAAUAAAUUGUAAAACCGCUUCCAAAUUCAUACAUAAAGUAUCGUUCAAUCUAUUUAUUUUCACCUUUGCCUCAACGUGAAGUUUUGAAAUUAAUGUAAGACUUUCCAUUGAUAUUCUUGAGGGUGGAACCCCUUUUUUCACAAUGUUUUGGGCCUCACUACCACAUUUUUCACUUAUUCUUUUAGUUUUCGGCUUAAUAAUACAUUUAUUGCUCAAUAAAUCCUAAAACCGAUUCCAAAUGCCUUAUAAAGUUUUCUUUAACGCUCAUGGAAAAUAUUUCGCGAAAAAAAAAUUUGCACUUUCACAAAAAAACAUGGAUUAACAGUCACGAUUUGUAGUUGGUUUUGCAAAUUCAUAUAUAAAUCAUCGUUCGAUUUAUUUAUUUUCACCUUCGCCUCAUCGUGAAAUUUUGAAAAUUAAGGUAAAACUUUCCAUUGAGAUUCUUGAGGGUAGAACCCCCUUUUUUACUAAGUUUUGGGCCUCGCUACUAUAUUUUUCACUUAAUAUUUUAGUUUUUUUUUUCGGCUUAAAUGUACAUUUGUUGCUCAAUAAACCAUGACACUGAUUUCAAAUGGCAUUUGAGUUUUCUUAAUGCUCACGGAAAAUAUUUCACAAAAAUAAAAAAGUUUGCAUUUUUAACAAAAAUCGUGGGUGUUAGAUAGGCUCGAUGUACACAAAACAAGGCAGGUCUAAUACACAACGAGACGGGCUCCACUCACAGAAAAUGACACAGGCUUCUGGCACGCAAAACAAGACGAGGAGCACAGAACGAGACGAGAAUCGCACAAAUCGAGAUGCCUUAGGAAGUAUGAAACAAAUUAAGUGGUUCAGUUUUACACACUUUCAACUGAGCCAUCUUCAAUGACAUGAUCGACUUAAAAAGAUGAAAGGAAAAACAUUUCCUCUGUUUAGAUAUACACCAAGGUUUUGUUUAUAUCUUCCUAUCAAUUGCAUUGAGUACACUUUUCAAUUUUUUCUUUCUUACCAAGGAGGUUGUCAUUCUCCUUUUCGAAGUAAGAGACCAAUUUUUAUGAUACACUAUGAGAGCAAUGAAUUAUAAUGCCAAAAAUUUAGUGCUAAUCCAUGGGUUGACUAAACAUUUUCAAGAGCUUAUGGGUUCAAAUAUAAUUUCCCACUGAAAAAUUCUGGAGCAAAUCAAUGCAUGACACAGCAAAAUUUAUUAGUCGGAUGCGUGUUCAAGAAUUCAAGAGAAUCUAGCAAGUGGAUGUGAUUCACUUAAAAGGCAAUCUUGAUGUAUGUAGAGAUACUCCUGUCUGUAUACGAAUAGGAGGCCAUAAAAUGAUGAACUAAUGAACAAAGAUAUUUCCGCUAUGUUUCUCCUAAAAAACACGAACAAGGAUAUUAAUGAACUUACAUCGAUGAAACACGAAAUCAGUACUACUAAUCAAUUUCUAAUUUACUUCUAUAAUUCUGAAUUACAACAGAAAUACAUGCAUAUAAAUCGAUAUUCGCUAGCAAGAAACUAUAAUGCAAGGUCAUCUUUAUAUAAACAUAACACUGAAGAUCAAUCUUCAUAUAUUUCCGGAAAGGUGUCAUAAGCCAUCUAAACAUAAUAAGCUAAUUCUGGAUCCUGAUCCUCUACUUCACCCUCAAAUCAAUAAUCGGGGGAAAAGAGGCUUUCAUCACCUCUUAACUACAUACUUAAUAAGGCUCUCUACUUCUAUCUCCCUCAUUGACGCCAUCUUUUCCUAAUUAAGUCAUGACCUUCGUGACUUGGGUUGCAAUCUCUCUCAAAAAACAAACCACGAUCCACGGUAGCUCUUAAAAAUGAUAAUAUCAUUUGGUCUAAUUAUCUACUUCUGACAAUCAGAUUCCAAGUCGAAUAUUUCCAUACUUUUUCCUCCUAGGUCUUGACACGAUCUUGGUUUCCACGUCACACAUCAAGCAUAUACAAUCUUACCACUGCAAUGAGCGAACUCUCCGGAGCACAUGGGGUGGUCUUCGCUUCUCCACAACCGGAAUGAUGUUUUCCAUUAGCUGCAACAAAAAUACACAAGGUCAAAUGGAUAAUAGCAAACAACUAUUACAACCACCGUCCCUCAUCUUCCAAAAUCCUAUUCCUCUGGAUAAAAUGUUCAACUAACGUCGCUCAUGGGCCAAACUGAAAUGAAAAAUCAUCAAUUACCAGAAGUUUCAAAACGGGCAACUGUAUUAUUUUCUUCCUUAUACAUGGAAGUCUAUAGUAACUUGUUUUCUUGUCUAAUUACAUUACCACAUGCAAAUAUAAAUGGAAGUCUAUACUUAGACUUCUAAUGAAGGCCAUUCUUUGUUAUUAUAACAUAUUGAUUGUCUUGACUACAGCGAACCCAAAGCUUAAAUUAAAUAGAGGACCACAACCGUAUACUUUUAGGAGAGAAAUGUUCCUUUUUGUAAUCAUAUUUAUCAUUGUGAAACUUUCCUAUUUCUUCCCUCGUGGAAGUAGGCAAAGACCCAACCAUGCAUAUUAUUUGCAUGUUGUUCUGUCAAGCAUGAAAAUCCAUCCCCUCAAAGGUUGGAGAUAUGCUUGGCUAAGGUAAACUGCUAGGCAAUAAGUACACUAAACAUAAUUCCAAUUGAUACGUUUAUAUUUAAGUUAACAAAGUCUAUGCCAGUUAUCAAAUUAUAAAAUGAAACAAAUUUGUAACAACUGGUGUAUGCAAAAGUUCUGAGUUAUAUACAUCAAAAUAAUUUUUUUUUAAUAAUUUAUAUGCAUCAAAACAAUGUUUAACCUUACACAAUGCACUCAUGCUAUAUCUGCCUGAAUCAUGUACUGCCUGCUAGAUAGUGCUUAAAUUGUACUCUACAUUCAUGAGACUUUGCAUUUGGAUUAUCAUGAUUCCAAAUAUCAUUAAUAUUUUUGUUUCUGUUUGUUUACUGGGAGGAGGGUGGAUAUUCUUGUAGAAUGUAAAGAAUUUAGACUGUACAUUAAAAAAAAACGUAACUAGGGGUCAAGUUUUUUAUUUUGGGAAUGACAGAUGAUUAUAUACAGAUUAAGAAAUUCAGAAUAUACAAAAGUCACAGAUGUCGAGCGUUGAGAGGCCAUAUAAACUCCAUUAAUAUUUCAAGAUAAACCAACGCCUCCACUAGGGAGACAUGAAAAAUUUUUAUAUCUAAAAUCUAAACAUGCCACAUCUAUGGCUGCAAGGUAUAAUAAACAAUAAGGGUCAUUACUGUAGACAUCUAGCUUUCUUUACCUCUUCAGGCAUAAGUACGAAAUAAUGGAGAUGAUACUUAUUUGGGUGCACUGGAGAAAAAUUUGUAUAAUUUUCCAUGUAAUUUUCUAUAAUAUCUGCCUCAUAUUGUAUUUUUCACUUCAUCAAAUUUGUUGUUUCUUAUCCAAAAAGAAGAUCACCAUAUGCCAACAACCAAGUUCCUAAUAAAAUACAAUCCCUUGCAGAAUCAAUUAACUACAUGCACCAGGAAUGAAAUGAAUACCUGCUUAAGUCUUCCCUGAGUCUGCUCAGCCUGCAAUUAAAAAAUAAAAUUGUUACAAAAUAGAAUAUAAAAAAAAUGUUAAGGCAACCAAGGAGAGCAAGUAAAACACACACGUCUCAAUUUGGUGGCAUGUUUAGAUAUUACUACAGUUAGUCACUUUUUUGGGCUUGGGAAUCUGUUUGCCCGACUGGUUAGGCCCCUGGCACUAUUUGUGGUACUUAGUGAAGGCUUUGCAGUUUGUUCUUAAUAAAGUUCCUUCUUUCAGAAGAAAAACAGGUUAAAUGCAGAGAAAAAAGUGCGAGGUCUUAACAUCAACUUGAAAACCAAAACACCAAAAUUAGAUAACUUUAAAAGAAAAUGAUUUAGCUCCUACGCACACUCAUGAACCAAGCAUCAUGCACAAAUACAAGAAAUCCAAACCCAUCCUCAUUUUAAACCAAUACGCAGACCAAAAAAAGGGGCAACUGAACCAACCAGCCAAUUAUUAAAUGUUCAAAUUGGUUUGUCUGAUCUUUUACAAGCUCAAACUUAUAAAACAAGCCAAAAAUCUUGUUCGCAACUGGCUAAUUAAGUUUCCAAGGAAGCUUGAACAUGUUAAAAAACAGACAGGCUUGAUUAUCUGUCUCCUGGGUUAAGAAAAUAUUUAAAAUUUCAUACGAUAUAACGGAUUGAACUCAUUUGCCGGACUUGAACUCAUGUUAUAAUGGAUUGAACAUGUUAAAUGACGUAGUCAAGUACUUAAAUCAUUUAUCUCUACACUUUGCAAACAAAACAUUAAAGUAUACACUUCAGUGGUUUCGUAUGCAUGUAUUCAUAUACACUACAUGAAUAUGUACAUAUAUUCAUAAGAUUUAUAUAAAAAUAUUCUAAUUUAUAAUCCUUAGUAUUCAUGAAGCUUGGUCAUGAAACAUUACUUCAGCUUGGGUUAACUAUCAGGCUAACUAACUAAUCAAGCCAAGCCCGACAGGUUUGUUCAUUUACAGCGCUGCUGACAAUGAUAAUGAAAGUCUUCAAUGGGAUGAAACAAAGCAAAGUAACAAUAUUUGGUUAAAGUAUGACUACAUACUGCUUUAUACACAAUAGAAGUGGAAUUUCAUCACAGCAUACGAACACAGUAGUCAGACAAGUCAAAUCAAAUUGGUGACCGUUUGGAGUUGCAUAUUUGUAAUUGACAAAACGUCUGCAACCUCAGCAAAAUGAGACAUGUGAAAGGAAAAGUCGUUUUGUUGGAAAAUUUAACAAAGUAACAAACUGUCAUAACUAUACCGAAUGCUGAUUGCGACUCAAACACAGCUCAAUUUGGCCCCAAACUCUAAUGCUACCAAAGUACUGAACUUCUACUACCAUUUCAUAGUGGAAAAGCGCAUUUCUCACCGCAAUUCGGUGGCCAACUACAGUCUAAAGCACAUUAGAUUCAUAAUUCGAUUACCUGUUCUUUCAAAAGCUGCUCGUUUUCCUCCUCUAACCGGACUGCCAAUGACUCCAAUUCAUCUUGAUAAGCCUAAAAUCCAAAAACCCCACAAUCAGAAAAGUACAAAUAAGCAUGAAAAAACAAACAAAAGAAAUAUCACAUACACCAUUUCAUCAAAAACCCAAUUCCACACCUGCUUUCUCUCUCUGGACCUGGCCGCCGAUUCCCGGUUCUUGAUCAUCCUUUUCUGUCUCUGCUGCGACGCCUUAUCCAUCGGCUCCAUAACGGCGCGCCCCCUCUUCCGUCUCCCCACUCCUCCUCCACUCCCAGCAGGGUCCGCCACAUUUCCAAACCCAACAAUCGACCCUUCAACCUUAUCAAUCGACCCGAACGGGCUGAGCGGGAUCUGAUCAAAGGAAAAUACUCCGCUGCUCAAUCUCUCCGUCUCGGGCGGCGGCGGCGCAAGCGGAAAAUCCUUAAUGUCGUUCUCUUCCACGGCCCCGGCCCUAGCCAAAAAGUCCUCCAGAGUCAUCAUCUCAUCGGGAACCUCCUCUUUACACUCCUUCCGACAUUCGCCGGACACAAUUUCCCGCCAAACUUCGUCAACAGUUUUCGGCGGCGGCGGCGCAGUGGAGCUAUUAAUUUCUGCGGAGGAGUCGAGUAGGGUAAUUUGAGCGUUGAGGAGGGUGGCGUCGGUCAUAGGGGUGGGGUUGGAGUCGUAGAGGAGACCGUCAACGGUUAUGGAGCCGAUUGGAAAGGCCAGCGUCGUACUAGUGUUGCUGUUCUGGUAGUUGUUUAGGGAUUGGGGGUGCGCAGAGGAGGAAGACGGGUGUGCAGUGGUGGUGGUGGGCUGGGGCUUUGUAGCGGGGGAGAAAUUGGAAGAAGGGCGUCGGGAGAGAUCCGAGUUUCGUGAUCUCGACGACGACGACGACGACAUUAGCUUCGACGACGCCAUCUCUUCCGUCGCUGAUUUCUCAGGCCCCUCGGACUGUCCGCUAUCUUUCUCUCUCUAGAAUCACUCUCUCUCUCUCUCUCUCUCUAGAAUUGGAACUUUUAGGGUUCUGAUCCGGUGUUUUGUUGGGAUCAGGCCCCGCACCGAAGCUCAGUGAGAAGAACCCCUUUCAACGAGCGAAGCGAAGCAGUUUGUCACAUCCCAGAACCUUUUUUGGUGCGGAUAUUUUGGUGGGACCAAGUAUUUAAUACAAACCGAGAACCGAGAUUAUGAUUUGCAAGGGUUCGUGGGUCCCGGUGGGACUUACGUAGGCCCCACAGAAUAGCGCAAUCGGACUGGCGGUUGUAGGGGAUAUGUGUGUGGUCGCGUGGUAGAUGAGUUUAGCCGGAUGCCUGGAGUAUGGUUGUUGACCCGGCCACAGUCAGGGAUUGCUAUCGUCACGGACGGCAGGGACGGCUGUGAUGCAAGGUUGUGUGGUGUCGUGAGCAGAUUGGUGAGUUGAAUUGCACAUAUUCGUCCAGCGUGGCAUGCGGACUGAUCUGUGGGCUGGAGGAGAGAGGUUUAACUUCAAUUCUCAGGCUGGGAGGGGUCAAUGAAGCAAAUUUGGCCCAGGCCCAAUUAUGAAAUUUUUUUCCUAUUCUAAUAGCUCGUUUACUGAUUUGUAAUUAGAAUUGAAGGAAUUAAAGUGAGAAGGAAUUAAAUUGACGAGGUGUUGGAAGCUGGUGGAGAAAUCAGACUGGUGUUUACCACCUAUCAAAUUUAUUAACUUGAUCGUCGAAGAGUUUUUAACUAAUACCACACUUUUGCCUAGACCUUUUUACGAUAUUUACUGUCUUGCAGGUUAUGCAUGAGUCGAACCAUCGUCUUUUGGCAACGAGCAGAUUUUGGUUCAACAAUUGGUAUUUUUAUUCAGAGAACUUCCGCUCUCCCGUUGAAUGAGUGUCUAACACCAUGAAUGCUGAUGGAGGCUUUUAUCCAACCCUGCAGCAAGAAACAUUGCAAGCAAUCCCGUGAAUGUUCUGGAUUGUUUGCGGUGCUUCUAUCUUUGUCAAUAAAAACAAAGGAAGAAAAGAAAAAAAAAAGAGAAAGUUAAUAGUUAUAAACUUGUACGCAAUAACUAAGCAUAUAUAUGGGGGACAAAUGCCAAACCAAGUGCAUGAGAUAUGCAUGAUCCCCUCCAUCACAUAUUGUUCAGCUAUCCACGUUAAUUCAUCACGCUCUCUCUCUCUCUUUUAUCUCUUCAUUAUUAACCUGUAAACUGCUGUACCAGAUGUCAUCAAAUUAAUAACUCCACGUGAUCCACGUUUUAUUAAAUUACAUUGUAAGCCACAUGAUGCGGUGAUAAAUUAAGACUUCAUGAUUUAAUUUUUUUUUUUAAAAAGACUAAUUAUCAACUACCGUAUCAUGUAGUUUAUAAAAUAAGAUUUGAAAAAAUCAUCUCUCUAGUAUUACCCUAUGCGUUUAUGAGAUGCAUAUCUUUUAAAUCACAAAAGCAAUAUUAGUUAGCGGCGUUCGUUCUAUCUUGUACAAUAAUCGACAGAUUUCAGGUUUGCCUGCCGACCUACCUUGAUGAAGCCUCAACUCCCCCGUUCAAUUGAAUCACAACCUACUCGUAUUAUGUCAGCUCAAUGCAUUUUUCCCCUCCAUGUUUGUUUUAAUAUCUUGGGAGCAGCCUCUCCAUAAAUAGGGGUAAGGCUAGCCGACAUUUCCCUCUCCCAAACCCUGCGUAAAGCGGGAGCCUUGUGCACUGGGUACGACCUAUGUUUGUUUUAAUAUCGGUUAUGCCCCUUAUACCACACUAGAAGUUCCUCCGGCCAAAUUUUUUACACGUAUAUUUUUGGCAUUUGAUGUUUGGACAAAUACUUUUGGCAUCAUUAACCAUCCAUUUUUUAAUAUGCUCUUCUCUCCUGCGAGGGUUUCAACCAUUUCAGGUGCUUAAUGGCUAAUGCUGUAAUGCAUGGUUUUUUUUUUGCUAGUUGAGAUAAGAGAUAAACAAGCUGCACAAAUAUAGGGUCUUUAUUGGUUUCAAAUUAAUGGAUCAGGAAUGCUAGAUCUCUCUCUAGGGUUUUUUGAGAUUUCGAGAUUUUGUAGAAAUGUAAGUUUGCAGGGAAAAUGUUUCUGUGAAAGCGAUGGCUUUCAUUCAUUGCUUUCACAUAUAUAUAGUACAGACUUUACAGUCCUAUGGAAAUAAUGAAACAACUAUACUUACUAAUCAACAUUUACAUUUGAAUUGGAUGAUAAGAAACGGAACUAAGUGAUAGAAUUCACUUUUGACUUGGACUCUUGGUUAAUAGCUUUCAAGCUUUUUUUUUUAUUUAUUUUUUAUUUAUUUAUAGUUGAGCGAUAGCUUUAGUAGGUUACUAGUUCAUUAUUAAGAGAAAGGAGAAUCGGUGGAGAUCAAAUCCGCAUCAAAAUGCAUAAACCUGAAUGCUUUUCACCACUGUGGUAAAUCGCAAACUUCAAGCAAUUCUUGUUUUUACAGUAUAAGGACAAUUUGUCUUUCAAGAAAAAAAAAAUCUUCGUAAAAUUGGUUAAACAUAGUUGAUGUUAAAGUACUCCCAAAAACAUCGACCAAAGUAUGUAAAAGGCUACCAAACAGGCUUUAUUGUUUUCUUCCACGGUACGAGGCAAAGUAUUAGUAUUUGGAAUAUGAAACCAAAUUUAUUGUCGAGUAAUUAACGAACCAUCUUACAAUUAGUGGCUCUCAUAUACAGGAGUUUCUUGAGGACUAUGAUUUCUCAAUAACUAAUUAAUUAGGUACAUACAUCUACGUACCAUAAAUUUCUAUAACAUAGGUAUUACUAAAUUGAUCCUAAAGUCAGAUAGAGAUAAUGCUUCCAUUAAAAUAAAAACGGUCAAAAGAUUAGUUUAAAUAGUGCAAUUUUUUUUCUUAAAUAAAGGGGAACAAUAUUCACCUCUUUCAAGCUUGGAGAGGCUAUUGGGAAUUUCACCCUGUCCGUGGCCACAAUCAAGCAAACUCACCAGCUUAGAGCAUUGAACCCGAGACCUCGCACAUUUUUUUGUUUAUUGGGGAGCCGCAAUCCAUGCCCUUACUACUGAGCCACAUGUUAUGGUUAAAUAUUGCAAAUUUUUAGUUGAAAGAAGAAGAUAAAUGCCAAGACUCUCAAAGUGGGACUAUGUACUCUCUGACAUCUCACAGUUUAACAUUAAUUUUCAUACUAAUAUUACAAAAUAUGUGUAAAAAAACAUUAAGUGGUAGAGAAUCUUAAAAAGUCACAUUUUUUUAAAAGUCUCCUUAGCAUUUCUCUCGUAAGAAUUUAUAUACGAAAGAAAAAAGCAUCGAUUGUAGAUGACGAAAAUGUGACAAUGAUGGAUUGCUAAUGAUUUUGGGAUUUGGUAGUUUCAUGCGUGGCUCAAAACAUAAAAAGCAUAGCAAGACAUCGACGAUUGAGUUUAAAGUUUGGCGAUAGCCCAUGCAAACAUCAAAGAGGUGCCUUUAUUAUUAGUUAUCCACGUAAACCUUCCGACCUGAAUUUGUUUAUAUAUAGUUAACUAAAACUCUAUAUAUAUAUCUGAGAAUAUUCAUCAAUCUUAAAGGGUUCAAUGGUAAUUUUCAUGCCCUAAAUCGAGGGGUUGCGAUGUUUUGUGCUUGUAGGCUUCGAUCAGACUCCUUGAUACUCCUCUAGGUUAAGAAAGAGACGGUGUAAGUAAUCAUAUAAAGUUUUAUAUAUAGCUGUAUGUAAGAAGAAAAUGUACAUAAAGACAAUAAAGAGGGGCCAAAGGAGGAUUUUCAGAUGCAAAAAAGGUCCUGAAGAGGGAAAGGCUCUUCAGCAAAUUUAGCAUUUGAAGCUUGCAAACAAAUUGGAGAAGUUCUCUCUCUCUCUCUCUCUCUCUCUCUCUCUCUCUCUCUCUCUCAUAUGAGAUUACAGCGUGAACUACAAUCCUUAAACAGACUUUUAGAGGCUUUAUUAAAGCAAAGAUAUAUGAACAAACUAAUUAGCUAGAAAGUUGAAUAGCUACCUCAUUCAUUGUUCUUUCUUACAAGGUUCGUAUAUAGUGGGGUUAUGAGUUCGACAUCAUUUAUAGAUCUCUCCUUUAAAAUUUGGGAGCUACCUCGUCCUCGUAGCCUACAUAAGAUCGACAUCGACUUUGUUCUUCUAAAUUAAAGAUCGACCAAAAGAUGUGGGCAAAACUUAGAGCUUCUUCAAAUAUUGCAAAGGGUAUGUAUAUCUUCUAUCUCUUUUUUCCCUUUAUAUAUAUAUAUAUAUGUAUGUAUGUACGUAUGUAUUUUCUUUUUUUUGUGUUCUAUGCCAUAUUACUCUAAGCUCUGGGUUAACAGAUCUAAAAGAGAGAACUCUAUAGCAUGUGGUUUGCCAUGUUGCCUGUUGGAUUUUUUGAAUGUGAAAACUAACUGGUUACCAAGUUUUGAGAACAAUAUGUACCUAUCUUGUAUCUAUAUAUGUUGGGAAAGAAAUAAGACAUCAACUUGAAGUUUUAGCAGAAAGAGGAAAGUGGUCUUUCUAGGGUUCUCUUGUUACCAUCAUGCUCAAUUAUUGCUACACUCGUCAUGAUAAAUCUCUUCUGAGAAAUACACUGCAUGAUAGGUUGGUAGCACUUUGAAUCUUUCGCAAGCAUAAGAUGGUCUUCAUAUAUAUGGAUUACCAAUUUUGGAUUAUCGUUUUCAGGGAAAGAAGUGAUAAGGCAAGUUCGUAAAAGCUUCAAUCUAAACGAGGAGUACCUAAGUGCAUUUAGAACCAAAUCCUAUGCAGACUUCUUCAACAAAGCUCAGUUGCUUGUAAACGAGUCAUCAUCAUCUCCUUUGAAUUACAACCAUGAUCACAAAUUGACAGAAGUCCUCCUAGAACCUGGUCAAGAAGCCAUACCAGAUAUCCUUGACUCGGCAAUUCUUUCGAAGGAACCUAAAUUGAAGGGCCUUAUGCUCAACUACUUUGACAUAAGUGCUGAAGCCUCAAAAAUAUGCAGCCACCUCUUAAAAAGCAUCAACCAUGUCCAAUCCAGUUACCACUUUGUUCAACAAGAACUUGAUAAAUUUGAAGAAUACUCACCGGACAAAAUCAAAUCCAUUAUUUCGGAGCUAAACUUGCUCAUACUUCAAAACAACAUUAACCCUUUUUCAAACCCUAAUAACCAUGACUUUGAGCUCAUUCAUGAAAAGUACUCGUCGGUUUUGCACCACCUAAAGUCGAUGAGGAAAAAGGUGUCGCGGAAGAUUAAGCGCAUUAAAUGUUUCAAAAAGGCCACUGGGAUUUGCAUAACAGCAGCUUGUAGUUUGAUUGCUAUAACCGCUAUUGUUUUAGCAGCACAUACUCUCACUGCCUUGCUCAUGGGGCCAGCUCUCAUCAGCUUCCCAUUUAAAAGCUUCAAGAAAAAACCGCGUAGCAUUCCAUUUUUGAGAAGUAGGAUUCUUACCAAAGUUGGAGAACAACUUGAUGUGGCAGCCAAAGGGAUUUAUAUUUUGAAUAGGGAUUUCGACACGAUGAGCCGACUUGUGGCAAGGCUUCAUGAUGAGGUUGAACACAACAAGGCGAUGAUCCGGUUCUGCUUGGAGAGGAGAGAGGAUAAGUUUUCUUUGCAGGUUGUGAAGGAGCUUAAGAAAACUGAUGUUGGAUUCAGGAAGCAAGUGGAAGAGCUUCAAGAGCAUGUGUAUUUGUGUCUUGUAACAAUCAAUCGAGCUAGAGCUUUGGUGGUCAAGGAGAUGACAAAAUCUUGUGCAGAAAAUUGAUUUAGAAGUUAAGGAUGGUACGUAGCCAUUUAAAAGGCCUUGUACAGUAUAAUACUUCAUGUUCUGUAAAUUAUAUACGACCACACACGAUUUGUAUAAUGACCGAGAAUCUAUAAGAUUUAUAUGGAAAAAAAAAUGUUCAUUAUAUAUAUUGGGUAUUCAUUCCUUUUUUAGUUCACCUAUCAUUGGCUUUUAAAAAGAGAUUUUAGUAACUUUCUCCCUUGGACCUUCUUGAUGAUUGAACCCAUCUAGUUUCUAAGUCACCUGUUGAUGCACAAAAUCAGUGAUGACUUUGGUACAACAGAAAGUGUUAAGUUUGUGACCUUCGCUAGAUUGCUCCGGUCACUAGUGUGGAUAAAUAUGUAAAUGGAUAGAGACAGGGAAGCAAACACAAGAUGUACGUGGUUCACCUAGAUUGGCUACGUCCACGGAGUAGAGGAGUUCUCAUUAAUUGUGAAGGGUUUACACAAGUACAUAGGUUCAAGCUCUCAUUUAGUGAGUACUAGUGAAUGAUUUAGUACAAAUGACAUUAGGAAAUAUUGUGAAAGAAUGAUCUCUAUUUAUAGAAGAGGGUUUCUAGUUUCAUUCUGACAUUGACACAUGUCGUGUUGUGAUUGGCUUCUGAUGUUGACACGUGUCGCGCUAUGAUUGGCUUCUGAUGUCAACACGUGUCGCACUAUGAUUGGCCUCCUGGUUGGAAGGAAACUCUUCUGGGUCCUUGACGGUAUAACGUUGACCGAUGCUCAGUAGUUUCGGGAUUGGUCAAGUAUGGUACAAACAGUGCUCCCCUAAGUUCCCGAGUGAGGGAAGCUCCUUGGUUGGGGACUUGCAAGAUCCAAGCCAUUGAGUAAUCACGAAACUUCUAAGUACCGAAGUGUGGUAUCAUUUUCACUUGCCUUAUGUGUCUCAUACGUAGAUGUGGCAUUUUCUCUGUAAGUACUUUUCCUCCAUCCAGGGGUGGUAUCUUUAACCGAUGAAGAUGCACAAGGUAAUGUAUCAAUUUCACUUGAAGCUUACUUGUAGUUUCAGGCUUGGUCAAGUGCGAUACAAAACCCUAUAGUAGGAGUCCCCCAAGUCGCCGAGCUAGGAGAUUUUCCGAAAGAGGUAACAGACAAGGUAAGCAAUCAGACUUCCAAGCAAACAACCUGGAUUGGAGGUUCGACUUCGGCUUCCGGUUGAUUGUUCUCCUUCUCCUUGUGUCGUAAACAGCAACAAGGAUAAGGAUAAUCAAAUGAAGAAGAGAUGAUAUGAGAUACUUUUGCUUUUGAAGAAGUAACUUUCCACAUGCUUAUUCUUGAAUUGGGCUUGAGGGUUUUCUGGUUUCCUCCAGAGUAUAAGGCCGACUCAAGAAUUUGAGGGUCAAAACAAGUCCAUUAAAUCAAGAGUGCGUUCGACCUUGAUGAUAUGUGAUACUUUUGCUGUUGACGAAGUAAUAGAUGAAUCGACAUAUGUUUUGUUGCGCUUGUCUCCACAUGCUUCCUUGUAUCUUUCUCACUUAGCCUAUCCGUUCCUCAGGCAGAUGUGGUGUCUUUUCUGGAAGCAUAAAAUGUUAAAGAUGAGUACUCGAGAGCAAUAUCAGGUAAGUAAUCAGGCAAUGGGUUCCAGGCAGUCAGUUUCUGACUGGAAGCUUGAUUCCAAGUGCUGACUGAUUGCUCUCUUUCUCCUUGUCUUGUAGGUAAGAACAAGGACAAAGGAAAAGACAGGGAAAAAGCAUGAUAUGGGAUACUCUUACUUUUAACCCUGAUGAUAUGAGAUACUCUUGCUCUUGUGUGGCUGGUUUGCAUAUGUAUUAUUGGGGGAAAGAAAGCUGAGUAUUUCGAGAGGCUUCGUUAGAGUGCCCUCUCAGAUAUGAGGAAGGGUUGAGCAUUUUUGCAGGUCUGUCGGUCCGUGGAGGAUGGAGGUUGACAUAUAUAGGAGUCUCCCUAACAACAAGUAAUAAUGCUAUUCCUUUACCCAUCUUGGUCGUAAUAAUGUAGUGGGAGCUGCAAGCUUCACAUGUUUUAACUUUGUUAGAGCACUUUGAAAAAGUGGUAUGUGGUAUCUGGAAAGCUGAUGUUGUGUGUGAAGAUUGCAGACAAGCUUUAUCCAAGGAAAUCUGGUUCUCGAAGUUCGGAGAGCGAUGCCUCUUCGGUUUUCGAACAAGCAAUCCUGUCGGGGAUCUUGCUCUCGAGAUUCGGAGAGCGGUGCCUCUUCGAUUUUUGAGAAAGCAAUCCUGUUGGGAGUCUGGCUCUUGAGAUUCGGAGAGCGAUGCCUCUUCAAUUUUUGAGAAAGUAAUCCUAUUGGGAGUUUGGCUCUCGAGAUUCGGAGUGCGGUGCCUUUUCGAUUUUUAAGCAAGUAAUAAUGCUAUUCCUUUACCUUUCUUGGUCAUAGCAAUGUAGUGAGAGCUGCAAGCUUCACAUGUUUUAACUUUGUCAGAGCGCUUUGAAAAAGUGGUCUGUGGAAUCAGAAAGCUGAUGUUGCAUGUGAAGAUUGCAGACAAGCUUUAUCCAAGGAAAUCUGGCUCUCGAAGUUCGAAGAGCGGUGCCUCUUCGGUUUUCGAACAAGCAAUCCUGUCGAAGAUCUGGCUCUCGAGAUUCAGAGAACAGUGCCUCUUUGAUUUUUGAGAAAGCAAUCAUGUUGGAAGUCUGACUCUUGAGAUUCAGAGAGCAGUGUCUCUUCGAUUUUUGAGCUAGCAAUCUUGUUGGGAGUGUUUUCUUGAAUGUGAGUAAAGGUUGGGCAUUUUUGCCAGUCUGCCUUGCCACGGAGCACGGAGGUUGACACAUUGGGACUUUCUAGUUAUCAAGCAGUAGUGUUGUUCCUUUACCCUUGUGGGUAAUAAUAAGGUAGUUGGACCUUCAAAAUUUAUGUGUCUAAACUUUGUCAGAGAUAUUUGGCAAAGUUAUUUGUGGUACACGAGGAGCUGAUGUUGUGUGUGGAAAGUGGUGCCUCUUCGAAAUCCGGAGAGUGGUGCCUCUUCGAUUUUUGAACCAACGGCCCUGUUGUCAUUUCUUUUAUAAGGGCACCAAUUGUGUGCAAGGAGUACAUUCAGAGAGUUAUUGCUUGUAGGAAUUUUUCCCUUACUUCAGAGAUUUAUUGCACCUCAUCAUUUAUGAGAAUGUCUGGCCCAUCCGACCGUCGUUUUGACUUGAACUUUGGUGAAGAGGCAGCCAUACCUUCUCAAGACAACAUAUGGCGCCCAUCAUUCUUAUCCCCUACUGGUCCUCUUAUAGUUGGGGACUUUGUGAUAAAGAAUGAUAUGACUGCUGCGGUGAUGGCCACGAACCUUCUUACUCCUAAAGAUAACAGACUACUUUUCAAGCGGUCUGAUGAGUUAGCUGUUAAGGAUUCUCUGGCUCUUAGUGUUUAGUGUGCAGGUUUUGUGUCUAAUAUGGCCCAACGCCUAUUUGCUCGAACCCGCCAAGUUGAAUCAUUGGCGGCUGAAGUGAUAAGUCUCAAACAGGAGAUCAGAGGGCUCAAGCAUGAGAAUAAACAGUUGCACAGGCUCGCACAUGACUAUGCUACAAACAUGAAGAGGAAUCUCGACCAGCUGCAGGAAUCUAAUGUUCAGAUUUUACUUGAUCAUCAGAGGUUUGUGGGUUUGUUCUAAAGACAUUUAUUGCCUUCGUUUUCUGAGGCUGUACCGCGUAAUGAAGCUCUAAAUGAUCAACCUUUGGUGCCUCCUCAUUCUGGGGUUCUGCCUAGUACUGAGGCUCCGAAUAAUCACCCUCUGGUGCCUCCUCUUUCUGAGGCUCUGCCGACUGUUAAGACUUCUCCUGAGCAACCUUUGUGAAGGCUUUCUCUUGUUUAUUUAUUUUGAUUCAUGAAUAUGUACAUAUUUGUAACUUAUCGGAGGUAUCAAUAAACGAUUUGCUUCAUUUCAACGUAUUGUGUUAAAUACACCAAGGGCUUCUUCACUAAGUUCUUUGAAUUUUUCCUUUUGUUGAAGCUUGUAUGUUGAAGUUUUGUGAGUGAAGCAUGUAGGUUGAGGUAGUGCUCCCUUAAUUUCCCGAGUGAGGAAAACUUCUCGUUUGGAGACUUGAAAAAUCCAAGUCACUGAGUGGUCGUGAGACUUCCGAGUAUCACGGUGCAGUAGCAUAUGGUAGGAGUCGCCCAAGUCUCCGAUCGAGGGAGUUAACGAAUGAGGCAUUUCCUUUCUAAGUGGUAGCCCAAAACUCCUUCUUCAUAUAUAUUUGUUAUGAAAGUUAUUAGGACCAAAGAAGAGGAGGCCUAGGCAAUUUUUUUUUCUUCGAAUUUUCGAAUUUUUAAAUUUCCGAAUUUUUGAAUUUUCGAAUUUUUGAAUUUUUGAAUUUUUGAAUUUCCGAAAAUAUAUAUAUAUAUAUAUAUAUAUAUAUAUUUUAAAGCUUUGUAGGUGAAGCUUUGAGGUUGAAGCUUUGUUGGGCACCAUGAAUUGAUUUUGCUUCACACUAUCUUAAUCAAGAUAGUGUGAAGCUUUUGUGUUGAAGCUUUUGUGGGUGAAGCUUUUGUGGGUGAAACUUUUGUAGGUGAAACUUUUGUAGGUGAAGCUUUUGUGGGUGAAGUUUUUGUAGGUCAAGCGUUUGUGGGUCAAGCUUUUAUGGGUGAAGCUUUUGUGGGUCAAGCUUUUGUGGGUCAAGCUUUUGUAGGUGAAGCUUUUGUGUUGAAGCUUUUGUGGGUGAAGUUUUUGUGUUGAAGCUUUUGUAGGUGAAGCUUUGGAGUUGAAGCUUUGUAGGUGAAGCUUUGGAGUUGAAGCUUUUGUUGGGUACCAUGAAUUGAUUUUUCUUCACACUAUCUUGAUCAAGAUAGUAUGAAGCUUUUGAGAAUUUGUAGUUAUCCUCCAUUGAUGAAGCUUUUGUUGGUGAAGCUUUGGAGUUAAAGUUUUGUAGGUGAAGCUUUGGAGUUGAAGCUUUGGAGUUGAAGCUUUGUAGGUGAAGCUUUGGAGUUGAAGCUUUUAUUGGGUACCAUGAAUUGAUUUUGCUUCACACUAUCUUGAUCAAGAUAGUGUGAAGCUUUUGAGAAUUUGUAGUUGUCUUCCAUUGAUAAAGCUUUGUUGAAUUUCCCAUUUUUUUUUUUGGGAAACUAGAAAUUUGAAAAUGUGGGAGAGACAACUUAUACAAAUUUUGCUUCCACACUGUUGAGUAAGAGAUUGUGAUACAAGCCACACCUUGUAGUAGUCGAAGGUUUGGAUGAACCAUAUAAAUUGAAUUUGCUUUGAAGGUCUGAGAAUUGUAGUUGCCCUCCAUUGAUGAAGCUUUUGUUGACACCAUAAAUUGGUUUUGCUUUACACUGUCUUGAUCAAAAGUGUGAAGCUUUUGAGAAUUGUGGUUGAACUCCUUUGAUGAAGCUUUUGUUGGCACCAUAAAUUGGUUUUGCUUCACACUGUCUUGAUUAAAAGUGUCUUAAGCUUUUGAGAAUUGUGGUUGCCCUCCAUUGAUGAAGCUCUUGUUGACACUAUAAAUUGGUUUUGUUUCACACUGUCUUGAUCAAGAAUGUGUGAAGCUUUUGAGAAUUGUGGUUGAACUCUUUUGAUGAAACUCUUGUUGGCACCAUAAAUUCGUUUUGCUUCACACUGUCUUGAUCAAGAGUGUGUGAAGCUUUUGAGAAUUAUGGUUGCCCUUUAUUGAUGAAGCUCUUGUUGGCACCAUAAAUUGGUUUUGCUUCACACUGUCUUGAUCAAGAGUGUGUGAAGCUUUUGAGAAUUGUGGUUGAACUCCUUUGAUGAAGCUCUUGUUGGCACCAUAAAUUUGUUUUGCUUCACACUAUCUUGAUCAAGAGAGUAUGAAUCUUUUGAGAAUUGUGGUUGCCUUCCAUUGAUGAAGCUCUUGUUGGCACCAUAAAUUGGUUUUGCUUCACACUGUCUUGAUCAAGAGUGUGUGAAGCUUUUGAGAAUUGUGGUCGCCCUUUAUUGAUGAAGCUCUUGUUGGCACCAUAAAUUGGUUUUGCUUCACACUGUCUUGAUUAAGAGUGUGUGAAGCUUUUGAGAAUUGUGGUUGCCAUCCAUUGAUAAAGCUCUUGUUGGCACCAUAAAUUGGUUUUGCUUCACACUGUCUUGAUCAAGAGUGUGUGAAGCUUUUGAGAAUUGUGGUUGCCUUCUAUUGAUGAAGCUCUUGUUGGCACCAUAAAUUGGUUUUGCUUCACACUGUCUUGAUCAAGAGUGUGUGAAGCUUUAUACGAGUUGUAGUGUUUGCAUUGUUACAGAGGGGAAAUGUCUGAAACAUAUGCAAGAGGGCUGAAUAGCUUGAUCUUCGUAUGCCAUGCAUUGAAGUUGUUGUUGGCUUGCAAUAAGACUUUAUUGGUGACUAUAACUCUUGUUGGGCAUAAGUGUUCCCCUAGUUGAGUCGUCAAGCUUGAGGGUGUUUUGAUUAUUUGUGAAUGCUAGGAGUUCAUAUGUACAAGUUGUACCACUCGUCUUCUGGUAGGUGGAAUGAAUGGUGAGUUGCUUUCAUCACUUGGUUGAUGGUACGAAGGUGAGUUCCUUCUUCCCUUGGUUGGUGGCAUGAAUGGCAAGUUGUCAAAUGAUAUUAGAGUACGGAUUGUGCAUUUCAUCACCUGGUUUGUGGCAUGAAGAAGAGUACAGAUUGUACAUUUCAUCACCUGGUUGGUGGCACGAAGAUGAGUUCUUUCUUUACUUGGUUGGUGGUAUGAGUGGCAAGUUGCCAAAUGAUAUUAGAGUAUGGGUUGUACAUUUCAUCACCUGGUUGAUGGCAUGAAGGAGAGUACGGGUUGUACAUUUUAUCACCUGAUUGGUGGCAUGAAUGGCAAGUUGCCAAAUGAUAUUAGAGUACGGGUUGUACAUUUCAUCAUCGGGUUGGUGGCAUGAAGAUGAGUUCCUUCUUCACCUGGUUGGUGGCAUGAGUGGCAAGUUGCCAAAUGAUAUUAGAGUACGGGUUGUACAUUUCAUCAUUUGGUUGGUGGUAUGAAGAUGAGUUUCUUCUUCACCUGGUUGGUGGCAUGAGUGGCAAGUUGCCAAAUGAUAUUAGAGUAUGGGUUAUACAUUUUAUCACCUGGUUGGUGGCAUGAAGGAGAGUACAAGUUGUACAUUUCAUCACCUGGUUGGUGGCAUGAAGAUGAGUUCUUUCUUCACAUUUCAUCACCUGGUUGGUGAGAAUAAGGGCAAAGUGUCUAGGCACACUGUAGCAAGUGUCGAAUGACACAAAAUAUGUUGAACCAUUUCAAAGCACAAUUGGCUUAUGUAUGAAUGUGUUGAAAUGUAUGAUUGAACGAAUAUACUGUGAAGCUGUUCGUUUAUUUAUAUAGUCUUGUUGACAUAUACUUAGACUUUGUUUCAUGUUAGAAGCAUUCAUGUUGAAGCUUUGAACCCGAGUGUUUCAUUGCUAAGAAUGUAAGAGGAUUAGGAUCGAGUUGUCUAAAUCACCUCUUUAUUGAAUUCAUGCCAAAUAGUCUUCGUUACAUAGGAUGCCGAACGACUGAAGCUUAACACUUGUACAAUGUGAGUUUACUUGUAAUAGUACUUCAAGUGAUCAACGUUCCAUGGAUAGCCAAGGGUCUUGCCAUCAGAGCUUUUAAGCUUGUAGGAGCCAGGGCGACUGAUGCCAACAACUUCAAACGGUCCAUCCCAGUUUGGACUAAGUGUUCCUUCACUCGGGACUUUGUCGCAGAGUAAUCUUUUCUUCAAUACUCAGUCCCCCACUUUGAAAAAACAAGGUUUGACCCUUGAGUCAUAGUAGUUGGAGAUGCGCUGCUUGUAGGUGACAUUCCUUAAGUGAACCUGGUUUCUGUGUUCCUCGACUAGAUCUAAGUUGAGGGUAAGUUGUUUUUCAUUUUCGCUUUGCACGUAGUUCUAGACUCAGAACGUUGCUUGCUCAAGCUCAACUGGGACAACUGCCUCUGUACCAAAAACAAGUGAGAAUGAGGUUUCUCCUGUUGAUGUCCGAUACGAAGUGCGGUAUGACCAAAGAACUUGGGAUACAAAUGCUGGCCAACAACCUUUAGCCUUGUCCAAGCUGGUUUUCAAAGUUCACAUGAUAUUGAUCGAAGCCCCCGUGUUUACCAGGAUUCGUCGUACUUCAAAGUUGGCUAUAUGAGCUUCCACGAUCAGUAGGUCGUUGUGAGGGUAAAUAAUACCUCUUUCUUCCUCAGGGUAGAAACAUAUUGGAUCCCAGUUAGGCUUUUGAUACUUACCUCCCCUGAUGUCUUCCACGUGAAACACUUGGUGGCCAGACCUUAAAGCUCAUUCACUAUUUUUCGUGGCCCUGUUGGAAGAUUUAGAUAUGGGUGUGCCACCACUUAUGGAAUAUAUCACAUUUACCUGGCGUUGGUUACGGUUACCCCUUGAAGGGUGAAGAAGGAAUUAAUCAAUUUUUUCUUCACGUGCCAAAGCUUCAAUAUGAUCACGAAGGGUGAUACACUUCUCACCAUUAUGGCCGUUAUGCUCGUGGUAGCAGCAAAACGUGCCCGUGUUCUUCAUGGGCUUGUAAUCCAGGUGCCUCGGCUUUAGCUUCGGUAUCAAGUGUGCUAUGCUGGGGUAAAUGGCCAUGCAUGUGGCGUUCAAAGGUGUGUAUGCCUUAUACCUUGGGGUAGGGGCUGUCCUGACACAUGCUUGACCCACUGUGUUGACUGCUUGGGGUCGGGGAUUAUCAUGGCGAUACCCUUGGUUAUCACGGUAGUGUCCCUUACUCCUUUUACUAAAAUGAGACUGGUGAGGAUGGAAAUCUUUCCUUUUACCCUGAGAUUGAUAUGUCUGUUAACUUGGCAAAAUAUUAAGUAAGGCAGGGGGAGGCACCGCUACCGUUUGGAAGGUCGAGGUUUUCUCAUUUGGUUGGAUUUGGCUUCCACUUCCUACUUGCUGAUAAGGGGUGGUUGUGGGGGGUUUCCCUUGAUAUGUCCUUACCUCGGCAGAGGCAUGGUUGUAAGCAUGUGCCAUCACCUCAGAGUAAGUCUUCCAAGUGUUGGCAUUGAUCAUGUACUUGAAGAAACAAUCACGUAGGUCUGCCGUGAAGGCCUUGAGAGCAGUCUUGUCAUCUGCCUCAGCGCAGCGAGAAUACUUAUGGCUAAAACGACCAACAUACUCUUAUAGUGACUCGUCCAGUUUCUGGCGAAUAGUGUACAAGUCAUCCGCAGAAUGCAAGCGAUCGGUUUGGAAGAUGUGUUGAGAGAAAAACAGUUUCCUCAGUUCUUCAAAUGAGUCUACUGUCUCAGGUGGAAGACGACAAUACCAGUUUAGAGCUCCGUCAGAGAGGGUGGAGGGGAAGAGAAGACAUCGUUCUUCGUCGGUGUGCAUCCGAUAUGCCAUGGUGGACUCAAAGAGGUUAAUGUGUUUAAUUGGGUCCUCCCUUCCAGUAUAGAGUUGUAAACCAAGCUUUUGUUUUGUCUUCGCUUGAAUGGGGUGUCAAGGAUCCUCCUUGUAAGAGGGCCAGGCCUGGGUUGGUUCUAGUCAGGUAUCUCGGCCUGACGUUCGGCCUUCAACUUGUUUACUUCCUUAAGGUGCUGUAGGACAAAGGGGGUCUUGAGUGGAGUCAUGUACCACUAGGAUUUUCUUUCGUAAAUCUCCAUUGCCUCUUGGAAGUAAGAAAGUUUGAGUAAGGGCGUGUGAUUUUUCCUUGGACUAGUCAUACUGACUUCUAGGGCGAGUCUGUCGGAAUACCUCAGAGUCCCCUGUACCUUCAUGUUCCUCUAGGACAUGUCGUUCCUUCCCUAGAUUGGCAGUUAGUCUGGGUCGUGGAAGGGGACCGAGUCUUUUAGAAACCCUUGGGUCAUUGAUCUUCGAGCAUAUAUGGAGGGGAUUCUCUUGACGUUGCUUUAGGAAGUCUCGGCAAUCACGAUAAACGACUUUCGAUCCUUCCAACCUUUCUGCAAGGAGGUGUCUUCCUCCACUUCUCCUGCUUCGGGUCGAAGCAGCUGGGUUGAGAGAAGUCUCAUGUUGAUCAAUGUUUUGAUGAUUAGCUUGCUCCUCAUCAGGGAUUCCCAUGUCGAAGGAAGGUGACCCUCCGUGUUGGGGGGCACCUAGAUGAUGAUUGAUGUCUACAGGGGCAACAAGCUUGCGUGUUUGAGUACGCAUAGUUUCGUAGAGCGUCUCAAAGAGCUUUUCAUACUGCUCCUAGAGGACCUCAUUCUUCAUUGCUAUCUUGUUAUUUUGAGCUUUUAACUCAUUGACUUUAGCUUGAAGAACAACCCUCUUUCCUUCCUUCUUUCGUUGCUUCGCACUAGGUGCAAAAUGGUGUCAUUCUGUGUGUUAUGGCUUCCUUCGCUCCUCAUGUUGGAGAGGGAUACCUGGUCAAAAGAGAGUGUACUAAUGGUGGAAACCAGCUUGACAAAGCUGAAGAGAGUGAGAAUAAGUGUCAUUCCCACAGACGGUGCCAAAUGUUGAUGCACAAAAUCAGUGAGGACUUUGGUACAAUAGAAAAUGUUAAGUUUGUGACCUUCGCUAGAUUGCUCUGGUCACUAGUGUGGAUAAGUAUGUAAAUGGAUAGAGACAGGGAAGCAAACACAAGAUGUACGUGGUUCACCUAGAUUGGCUACGUCCAUGGAGUAGAGGAGUUCUCAUUAAUUGUGAAGGGUUUACACAAGUACAUAGGUUCAAGCUUUCCUUUAGUGAGUACUAGUAAAUGAUUUAGUACAAAUGACAUUAGGAAAUAUUGUGAGAGAAUAAUCUCUAUUUAUAGAAGAGAGUUUCUAGUUUCAUUCUGACAUUGACACAUGUCGUGUUGUGAUUGGCUUCUGAUGUUGACACGUGUCGCGCUAUGAUUGGCUUCUGAUGUCGACACGUGUCGCGCUGUGAUUGGCCUCCUGGUUGGAGGGAAACUCUUCUGGGUCCUUGACGGUAUAACGUUGACCGGUGCUCAGUAAUUUCGGGAUUGUUCAAGUAUGGUACAAACAUCACCCGUUAACGAUGAACUUUGAGAAAAAAAAACCAAAUUAGAAAUCAUUUAAUUUGUUGAUUAACAUUGUCAAAAUUUAUGUGAGAGAUUAAUUUCAUAAGCACUACUCGCACCUUAUAGAUUUUUAAUCACAAGCACUAGGCGCGACUUACAAAUUUAUAUUGAUAUUUUUAUUUGCCAAUGUACUUUCACUAUGCACAAAGUUGAAAUAACAAUCAAAUAAAAAGUCUAAAAUUAUAGAAAUUCGCAAGUAAUGCUUAUCAAGCGUGAUUAAGGUCAAAUCAAACUUUAAAGAGUCAAAUUGAGUUUCAAAUUCAACGAAAAUAAAAUAAAAUCGCAAAAUAGAAAAUACGUCAAUAAAUAGUGAAAUUCAGAAAUGGUAUUUCACACUUGCGGUCACUUUAUCUAGCAGUAGAGAUGAUCGUAGUUUUUUUGCUAAGCUUUUUUUUUUUUUUGGCCAAAUGAUAGAUUUUAUUAGAUUAGAUAUUAGAUUAGUCACUGACAGGGGUUUGAACCCACACUGUCAUGCAAGAGCUCAACAUCUUUCCACCACUGUGGUAAAAUGCCACUUGCAGUUUUUUUGCUGAGUUGGUGUGGAGUAUUUGGACAACGAUGUGUGAGAGGAUUCCUACGGUAAGAAGCUAACAAGCCAUGCUAUUAGAAAGUGGGCGGAAUGCCCUAUUUUUGAAUUUCAGGUGGUACCAAAUCAAUGCAUCAAGGCAGGGACGUUCUUUAGAGGAGUUGAGAUGGCUUCAUCCCCCAGUGGGUUAUUCAAAGUAAAUGUUGAUGGAGCGUUCAUGGUUUCGAUUUUUUGACAACAUAAUUGUUGGCAGGAAGGGAAGGAUUCGUAUUUGCAAAUUGCAUAUGACGCUCAUGCUAUUACGUUGAAACUUCAUGCUAAAGGGGUUGUGGACUUGAUCUCUUGAUAUGGAUAACCGUAUUUUAGAGGAGAUUGAUGAUUUGAAGAGUAGGUUAAGUCGUUUUUUUUAUAUCGAUGGCAAACACGUGAAGGCAACAUGGUGACUCAUGAAUUAGUGAAAUAUGGACUAGCAAUGGAGUUUUUAAUACAUGAAUGGAGGAGGAACCACUUUGGUUCCUGAAAAGUGAGUUGAAGAAUUAUAAUUGAUUGAGCAAAAUGGUGAGGCGCUCUUUUGCAGAGCCUCCUCUUGCUUCGAUAAGCUCUUUGUACUUUUGUUUAUGCAGCAAUUAAAAGCUCAGUUUUUAUACAAAAAAGAAUUACUUGAGUUUUUUGUGAUAAAUUUCACAUAUGAUGUAUUGUAGGUGGUAAGGUCCAAAGUUGGACACCAUAUCAAUGUGAUUAAAUAAUGAGUUACUAAUUUAUCCCUCUAAAAUUUUAGCAUGGUAUUAGAGUAACUCCAGCAUUGCAAAGGCCUCCUAGGGCAACUCACUAUUGAAUCCAGCAGUGAAUAAUAACUGCCUUUAAUAAACAGUAACUGCUUUUUGCAUCUCCACCCCUAACUUGAAUAGUCAUGAUAAUAAGCAAUAAAAUAUUAGUAUUUUUUUUCACCCAAUCCAUACAUCCCCAUCACCCUUUCCUCUUUUCCCCUCAUUUGACCGGUUCUUCCUCUCUCUCUUUUCUUUCUAUCUCUCUCUUCCUUUUUUCUUUCUUUCUCUCCCUUUUUUCCAGCUCACUCUCGUGAGCUCUCUUCCUCUUCCUCUUCAAACCUUCAACAAAUCAAGCUCAAAAAUAAUAUUUGGAAUCCUUGGAACUCAAGGAACCCAACCAUGGCCUUGCAUGCGACAUCGGUGCAUGGUGUGAGGUCCUACCAUUGAAGCCGAGAGCUUGAGGUCUUAAUCUCGAACCCAGGUGAUGUUUUUAUCACUAUCUUGUGUGCUUGAGCUUUAAAUCUUGUUGUGUUGCAAUUCUUAUGGUUUAAUUGGAGGGCUUAAUUCCCUGAAUGCAUCCCAUUCUUUUUCCAAAUUCCGACAAAGGAAAACGGACGAAUUCGAGCCAGAUCACCCUGAGGUCAACCACACAUCACAUAGCCAUUAGGCUCUCGGGCGAUGGAUUCCCGCCUAGCUUGUCCACUGGGCCUGAGCUCCAUUGCCCGCAUAGGCUAGAGCCAAUUGCUGGGGCCAUUGGGUGAUUGGAAUCGCAGGUCCAUCGGGCUACAGAGCACACUGGAAUUGCUCUUAAAAUGGCUUAUUGAUAGGGCUCAAUUCAUGACGCCUCUAAAUAAAAUAAAAAAGAGAGUAGGCGUCACUAGACAAAACAAUCUAUAACAACCCGUUUCUAUCUGUUUCAAUCAAUGGUAAGGUUGUGAAACUAAUCCAAUGUAAUGGCUACACUAUCUAACAUGUAUAAUCAUUAAAUAAUAAUAUGAUGAAUGGGCAUUGAAGUGGUUGGUUAAAAGCAAUAUUCUCACUGUCACACCUUCUCAAUCGGUCCAUUUUAGUGAACAAAAUGUCAUUAUCUUUUUGGUCGCAUUUGUUUUGUCUCUCUCAGGUUAGACAUCAAACGGUAGUGUUCUCUUAUCCUUGUUCAGUUCAAAUUAAAUGUCCUUUUAGUUUCUUGUUUUCAGUUGUGUUUUUUUUUAUUAGGUGAGAAAUUAAAUGACGAGUUUGAUAUUAAAUUAGUAUAAAAAGUUAAUUAUGCGACAAUAACCCAAUAUCAUAUCCUGUCGAGGGUACUAUGAUUAAAUACUCUAUAGCCCUUGAUAAUCAACUCCCCUGAGGUGUCCAGACUGUUGGUUUGGUUGAGUAAUUCUGGUAUUAAAAAAAAAAAUAAAGUGCUUACCUUUCCCAUUAAAAGUAAAAGGCAAAAUAAUGAUUUAGAAGUAUGCGAUAAAUAUAGGGAAAUAUUAUUUGGCGUUUAAGAUUUUAAUUAUGUUUUUUUUUUAUAAGAAUUUUUAUUUUUUAAAUAAAGAGCAUUUAAAUUGCAUGAUUAAUUUUUUUGGAAUGUCAAUCAAUUUCUUAAAUAUAUAUAGGACUAAUUAUAUUUUACACUAUUGAAGAUGAUUUCUAAAAUCGGUCACAAGAUUCUAACUUUUUUCACAUUACACCCUCAAAUUCUGAAGCACCAAAAAUUUGACCAGUAGUCGGUUCGAAGUACAACACUGUCUCAUAUUAUAUGUCCAAGUUCCAUUGAAAUCCAGACAGAGAGAAGCUUCCUUAGUCCCCCUUCCUUAACAACCCAACCUCUCAAUUCAAAGACUCCAAAUUUUUCUUCAACUUCCUUCCCUGUAUUCUAGCAAUUUUUUAUAGGACCUCUCAAGUUGAAGCGCCAUAUUUUAUUGCGCAUCAGAAUUUCUUAGUACCCAAAUAAUUGCUUUCCGCUUUCGUUGGAUCCUAUGCUUUCAGCUUAAAUCCGUCGAAAAAGCACGUUUGCUUCAGUUUUGGUAUUGCUUUCGAACUUCAAAGGCGGUUUAAACUUUCGCCCACCAAAUGGUCCACGCUUUGACUGACUGGUAGUCAUGGUUGCUGUCUUUUGGUCAAAAGCUGUCGAUGAUCUGUGAGUGGAACAGCUAAAUUUGGAUGAUUUCGACUUUUGGGUUUUGAGCUUGUGGGUUGUGUUUUUUUUUUUUUUUUUUUUUUUUUUGUUUUUGCUUGUUUCAGCGAUUCUCUGUCUUGUAUUUUGAAGUUCUGGAUAUUGGGAAGUGGUUUGUUUAAGGGUUUGAGGUUUUUUGUUUUGGUGGGGUUUUGUUUUUGUUUGUGUUUGUGUUUCUUCACAUCCUUAAGUAGAAUCAUUGGAUUGUGGGAAUUGAAUUGUAAGUUAUUGCAGUUGGGUUUAGUUGGUGGCUUCAAUUCACGGCUUUUUUCAGAUUCAUGUUUUAGUGAAUUUAAGAAUAUGGAUAUGAGGAGCUGAGAUUAAGGUUGUCGGAGUUGGGGUUUGGUCGGUUUUUGUCGCGCAACCCCGUGCACUAGGCAAAAUGGGGAGCAAUGGGGUUGACCAUCCAUUGAAACAUUUGGAAGAGGAAGGUGUUAGCAGCCAAGGACAGAGUAAGUAUUUUCUGCAAAGUUGUCGAAAUUUAUGAUUGGAAAUGGAUAACAAGUAUUCAAUUUAACAAUUGGUUGCAGGUUCUUUUCAGGGAGAGAGGAAGCAGAAGACAAAUUCUGCACGGCCCUCUUCGGUUUUAGAGAUUUUUCAGGAAAAAGAAUUCAAUGGUGCUUCUUCACCUUGGAGAGGUUAGUGCUCCCACGCAGUCUGAGUUGUAGUUCCUUUUGUUGUUUGUUAUGCAUUGAGGGACUAAAAAUGAAGCUUUUCCUUGAAGAGAGUUGACCAGGUUCUUUCUCUUUAGGGUGAACUAUACGAUUCUAAUUGUUUCUUGACAACCUGGAAUUACUUAAUAUUUAACCGAGAAACUCAAUGAACCAAAAUUUGUUACGCGUUAUUGUCUAUACAAUGCGGAAAGGAGUUUCGUGAUUUAGCUUAAAAUUCAAGUGUAGGAUUUCUGUAUACUGCCAGGAUGUUAGUUGUGCUCUUAGUUUAGUAAUCAGCCAUUAUUUAGUGAAGUUCCUUAGGUAUAAAUAUGUCUUGGAAUUUGGAAUUUAGAUGACCAGACUGAAGUUCUAGAGCGAUGCUGAAAAGAAACGAAAAAAAGUGAUUGAAGUAGUAGAAUAGUUCUUAAAAUAAGUAUUAUCUAAAUUGUGAAAAUACCUAUGAUUAUGUCACACUAUUGUUGUUCUUGUGGCCAAUCCUUUUACUAAACUUUUCAGUGAAUCAUAGGAUGAUGCAAUCAUGAUCCAAACUAAUAGUCUAAUUAGUACAAUGAUGUGAUCAUGCUGACCCCAGAUGGUACUGCACUUUAACGGCAUACUGGGAUCCUAAGUAUUUCUGUUUCUUUUGUUUUAGUAUUUAUCUAUUUGCUCACUGAUACGUACACGUAUGUUCAUGAAGGUUUGGACAAUUCAAUCACAGCGCCUAUUGGCACUCCCAAAGGUUUGCUGAUUAAGGAGCAUGAGAUUAGAUUCUCUAGAUCCAUGAUGGAGAAGAAGGGAAGGCAUGACUUAAAGCUGGAUAGACUGUCAGAGCGUGAAAAGGUAGAUACUAUCAUAUGCGUGGUUGCUUGUUCUCAUACCCUGUUUGCUUACAACUUUUAAUUUGUCCACCUAUCAGAACUAGAAACAUGUUUGUUGGACUAGUUUCUUUCAUGAAGCUGCAACUUCAUGCUGAAUAGAUGGAUGCCAAAUGUUGUCCCCUAAUUUUAUUUGAAAAGCAUGAGUGUAUGACAGUCCCUGUCUUACAGUAUCUUAUAUUUUUUUCAGUACCUGAUGACUGUGACAUAAAUUGAGUUAUAAUUGACGGCUCCAACCACUGAGGUUGCUAGUUAUCCUCCACCCCACUCCCCUCCCCCCAAUUCUUUAUUAACAAAAUUUGGAAUGCAGAUGGUUUUAUUUACUCGUACAUUCUCCUUUUGGUUGAUCAUUGUUUCUCCGGUUUUGAUUUUCAGAAAAAACUAAUUGUUGAGAUGGUCAAGAUACAAAAUGAUGGAAGAGUAGAAGUUGAUUUAGAAAAAAGUGCACCUGUUGCCUCUGAGUUGUUAGAGCUCCACACUGUCGAAGAUGUGCCCAUCAAUCUUGAUGAGAUGCCUUCCAAUACCAUCAAGUCAAUUCCAAGGUUGAAAAUUUGCAUACUUGUUGUUGGAACAAGAGGAGAUGUACAGCCUUUCCUGGCUAUGGCAAAGAGAUUUCAGGCAUGUCCAACAUAACAAGAUGACUUUGUUUUGAAUAAUUUACCGUUGUUGGGCACUAAUUAUUAUAGCUCUUACCUGUAGAGGUAGGCCAUGCUAUGAUGCUAGGCUGCUAGGCAUAUUAAAUUUUAAACAUCAUUGACAUAUUCCUGUAUCCCUUGUUUGAAAAAUGAUGUACCUUAUUGUCUAUAUGUUUCCUGCAUGUUUGAAUGGUUGUAGAUGGUUUGAUCUUUUCUUGCAGGAGUUUGGCCAUCAUGUCAGGUUGGCAACUCAUGCUAACUUCAGUUCUUUUGUGAAGUCAGCUGGUGUAGACUUUUAUCCGUUGGGUGGCGAUCCUCGUGUUUUGGCAGGAUGUAAGAGGUCCUAUAUUGGAAGUACUUUUUUUAAAUGAUAUAUAGCAAUUUAUCUCAUUUUUGGUAGCGAUCUUGUUGGUAGAUCACUUCCUAUGUCUCUGUCUAUUUUGUCAGAUAUGGUGUGAGUUUAUAUGUGGUUCAUAUAGCCGACCCCACUUAGUGGGAUAAGGCUUUGUUGUUGUUGUUGUUGUUUGCUCUCUCUGCUGUUUACUUUCUCUUUCUUGCAGCUGAACCUUAAUCUGAACAACUUGGGAACUUCUCUCCCUCUCUCUCUUUCUCUCUCUCUCACGCACAUGUGCACGCACACAACUCACUCUUCCUCUCUGCAUAAUUUUCUUAUGAAAGCUGAGUUGUAAUUGUGAAAGCUGAGUUAUUCGAUUGAUUAUUGACCACCUUAAAAAUUUAAAAUUACAACUAUUCUUUACUCUUUAGCCAAAAUUCAAGAUUUUCCAAUUCUUGGAGCUCUUAUUUAUGUCACUGGUUACUCUAAAUAUGUUUAAUGUUCCCAAAUUGUCCCCUCAAGUGCUUUAUUGAAUAACUGAAAUUUAGUGCCAUU